rnacentral:lncRNA from 1 species
CACCCCACCCUCUGCGCCCGCCUCCAAGGUCUCUCCCUCCCCCUUUCCCGAUUCCUCGUAUCUCUGUGGCCAAAGUGAUCUGGUAGUCCACUCGGGAGCCAGGAGCUCACGCCUUUUUUUUGAGAAAAAACUGUAUUCCCUCUGUAAACUAAUAUAAAAGCGUUUAGAUCACUACUUUAGUAUUCUAAACGCUCUUAUAUUAGUUUACGGAGGGAGUACAUAGCUCGUAGUUUAAAUUUUAAAGGUUUGACUCAAGGCAUGUCCAAAACUCCACUUUUUUAUGAUAUGGGGAGAGUAAUAUGUGAACUGCAUUCUAUUGGAUUCUUUGAUAGUAACCUUGUUUAUAUUAAUAUAAGUACAAUUGCUUCAAAUCAGAAAUGAGAAUCCUCUAAUCUUCCAUAUCGCCGGUUUUGAGAGAUGGGCAGUGCAAUAAUCUACUACUCCGGCGAAUCCAGUGUCUAGGUAUGGUAUUUCCACUAAUCUCAUGUCUAGUGGACCCAAUACAGUUUAUUCAGAAAUUAAGAAGGGCAGACACAAAGUAUUUUGCAGUCACCUUUUUGUUUAUUUCCUACAUACGGUCAUCAAGUUUUUCAGUUGGACCAACAAAAGUUCUGAACUUUCGAAUCCCCAUCACAUCUGCUUCCAAGAUAGUUCCGGAUGCUCACUUGACAAAAGAAUAUCUUACAGUACAAAGGUGUGAAGUUGCCUACGCAUGUUGGCGCACUUGAAAAACUGUUUAAAUCUUACUGAUUAUCAUAUGUUUCAUCAGGUUUCCAUUUAGAUAUAGCAUAAAGUACUCUCCCUUUCCAUCCUUGUAGUAGCCAACCGCGAUCUUCAACAGCAAAGAAUUCCUCGUGAUAAAGUGAGUUCUUCAUGUGUACUAUGUUCUUUAAGAUGGCUUGAUCGACAGGAAGCUGCUGGAACCCAGCCUUGAGGCACCUUGCUUGCCACUGCCUGUAACUUUCGGGCCUCUCAGUUCUGUCUGCGCCCUCACAUGCUAUGAUGUUAAGUGCAUCCAUCCCAAAUAGGAUCCUCUCAAUCAUCUUUCUUGCCUUAUUAUCCCGUGGAACAUUUGCAUCAAGCAUAUCAAACAUUGGAGAGUAAUGGAGCAUAACCUCUUUGAAUCGUUGUAUGAAGAAGGGAGAACUGUGUAACCCAUUCAUUGUGCCAGAAAUAAAAAUCUUUGGGUUCAUCCUCCUAAUAGUUUUCAUUACCUCAUCCCUUGCGCUAUUUAUUCCUGCGGUUUCAUGACCAAGAUUCUUCAUCCGGAAUAUGCAGUUGAUUAUGAGAACUUCAUCCUCGUCAAUGUUAAGAUCCUCAAUUUUAAUGGUGUCCCAUCUUGAAGCGGCAAUGCCCUGAUACUGAAAAGGUACCAUGAACAUGUUUGCAUAAUCAGCCAACCGCUUCCCUGUCUCCUCGAUCAUUUCGCAGGGGCGGAAACCAGGCUGACAAACGUCUAUACCUGUGAUCUGAAGCUUAGGGGCUCCCUCUUCUUGCUGUGCAAACCUCUGAAUCAUUAAUGGCCACUGAAAGCCGAAGCCGAUGCCGAAAUCAAGAAUGUGCACCCUUGGUUGCCCUUUUGAGACAUCAAGAAUAGUUCUAGGCCCAGCUGCGCAUCAGAGGUAUAAAAAGGUGUUUAUUAGGGAUGCUUGCCUUGGUUUCAACAUUAUUAAGGUUCCUAAUUGAAUUGUUAAAAAAAUCCAAGGUAAUAAAAAAAGAUGUACUCUUCGGAGAAAUUAUUCUUUCUUUGACACUUGGUAUUGAUAUACUCCCUCCGUCCCAUAAUAUAAGAGCGUAUACAAUAGUCUUGGUUGAAUUUUUUAGGAUAGUUUGUUGUACUUUAUCUUAUUAAAAUAAUGAGAUUGUUUUUCAUGAUUAUCUGAAUUCAGAAUCGAAUUGUCGGUGCCUAGCUAGUCUCUUUUUUUUUGGUGAAAGGGUGCCUAGCUAGUCUGACGAGAUAUGCACUUAUGUUCUGCCGUAUCUGAAGUAUUUUACCAAGGCUUGAGUGACACAGUUGUACCAAAUGUUUAAGGAGUGUAAAUGCCUUUGAAUUUUUGUUAUCAGGUCAUGAAAGUCACGUCCAAAUUAAAUUUAUACUACUCCCUUCAUUUUUUCAUACAAGGCCACUUUGUUUUUUUUGUCAAACAUUGACUUAUAAUUUUUGUCAGCAAAAUUCUCUAUAACACUAAGCUCCCUAAUUUUAAAGGCUCGCAAUCAAUUGAGGUCUCCAAUUGUAAUUGGUCACUCGAUUUUGACUGGGUCAACAAUUUCUCAAAGCUCUCUCAUUCAAUUCUUUUAUAUUACACAUACAAUAUGCUUCCUAAUUUUUAAGGCCUCACACUUAAUUGAGGUCUUCAAUUUAAAAUUGAGUCACUCAAUUUUGACUUGGUCAACAAUUUCUCAAGGAGCUCUUCCAUUCAAUUAUCAUAAGUCACUAUUGCUCCUAAUUUUGAAGCUCUUCAAUUCAAUUGAGGUAUUCAAUUAUGGUUUUGGUUUGUGAUUUUGAUCGGGCUAAUCAUUUUUAAAUCAAUCAGCAACAAUCGGCCUAUAAAACAUAUCAAUCCCGUGCACCCUCCCACCACCUAGAAAAAGACGCCAAUAAAUUACCGACGUAGAAACAUAGUACAUGCAACUAUCGAAGCAGAAAAUUCCUCAUAUAAAUAUGGGUUUCUUAGCGAAUAACACGAAAUCACAUCGAGAAAGGCUCACCAAAUCAUCGAAUCUAUAAAAGUAAAAUAAAGCAUACUCCAUCAUCUCCCCGCCCCGCCAAACUAAAUAUUUCAUGAGUUCCAAAAUAUAAGGUGAUUAGUUUUUUGGAAAGCCAAAUUCCUUUAACUUUGACCAAGUUCAGAGCCAAAAAAAGUCAACAUCCACAAUGAUAAACCUAAAAAUAUGGAAAUUCAUUUCAUGAUGAAUCUAAUUAUACCGAUUUGGUAUUAUGGAUUUGUAUAUUUCUCUACAAAUUUGAUCAAACUUAAAAAGAUUUGACCUUAAAAAAAGUAAUACACCUUACAUUUGAAACAUAAAGAGUAAUGUUUUCAAGAAACCCAACAACACCAACGGCGCAACAAAGCGCGUGCAACCCUUCUAGUAUGGCUUAUAUGCCAUCAAAAAAUAUAUCAUAGGAAAGUUCUUUGAAAUGUACAUUGAAUGAUAAACUUUUUGUGGCAUAUAACUCACUUUUAUUGGUAAAAUUAAUGAUCAAAAUUGGACACAAAAAUAUGAAGUGGCCUUGUAUAUAAUGAAGGGAGUACUAAAAGAAUGUCCCUUGAACUUAUGGACAUUUUCCUGCACAACAUUGAUAGCUGAAUGUCCCUUGAUCAUUGAGCCGGUGUGUCCUUUGCCCUCACCUUCUCUACAUCAUCCAAGGAUCCAGUGAGACUCCGAACAAAGAUCUCGUGUGGUGUUUCAAAGAUGUGGCAAAGUUUCUCGAUGAAGGAGGAAUCUUAGCAAUAAUGCUCUUGGCAACAAAUUUAUUGAGCAACAAACACCUAAGGAGAUUGAAUUCCUUUGCCAUCCAUUGUAGCUCAUGCGUGUUCGACCACAAAAUGGUGCUCAACCAUUUCGUAGUCAUUGAACUGCACUAUAGCAUACAACUCACCAUGGACAUUGAUGCAUGAUACGUCUCCAUCGUAUCUACUUUUCCAAACACUUUUGCCCUUGUUUUGGACUCUAACUUGCAUGAUUUGAAUGGAACUAACCCGGACUGACGCUGUUUUCAGCAGACUUUCCAUGGUGUUAUUUAUGUGCAGAAACAAAAGGUCUCGGAAUGACCUGAAACUCCAUGGAACAUCUAUUUGGAAAAUAAGAAAAAUACUGGAAGAAAAAUCCACGUCAGGGGGCGCACACCCUGUCCAUGAGGGUGGGGGCGCGCCUGCCCACCCUGGGCGCGCCCCCUACCUCGUGGGCCCCCUGACGCUCCACCGACCUCAACUCCAACUUCAUAUAUUCACUUUCGGGGAGAAAAAAAUCAGAGAGAAGGAUUCAUCGCGUUUUACGAUACAGAGCCGCCGCCAAGCCCUAAAACCUCUCGGGAGGGCUGAUCUGGAGUCCGUUCGAGGCUCCGGAGAGGGGAAUCCGUCGCCAUCGUCAUCAUCAACCAUCCUCCAUCACCAAUUUCAUGAUGCUCACCGCCGUGCAUGAGUAAUUCCAUCGUAGGCUUGCUGAACGAUGAUGGAUUGGAUGAGAUCUAUCAUGUAAUCGAGUUAGUUUUGUUAGGGUUUGAUCCCUAGUAUCCACUAUGUUCUGAGAUUGAUGUUGCUAUGACUUUGCUAUGCUUAAUGCUUGUCACUAGGGCCCGAGUGCCAUGAUUUCAGAUCUGAACCUAUUAUGUUUUCAUGAAUAUAUGUGAGUUCUUGAUCCUAUCUUGCAAGUCUAUAGUCACCUACUAUGUGUUAUGAUCCGGCAACCCCGAAGUGACAAUAAUCGGGACCACUCCCGGUGAUGACCAUCGUUUGAGGAGUUCAUGUAUUCACUAUGUGCUAAUGCUUUGUUCCGGUACUCUAUUAAAUGGAGGCCUUAAUAUCCCUUAGUUUCCAUUAGGACCCCGCUGCCACGGGAGGGUAGGACAAAAGAUGUCAUGCAAGUUCUUUUCCAUAAGCACGUAUAUAUGACUAUAUUCGGAAUACAUGCCUACAUUACAUUGAUGAAUUGGAGCUAGUUCUGUGUCACCCUAUGUUAUGAUUGUUACAUGAUGAACCGCAUCCGGCAUAAUUCUCCAUCACCGAUCCAAUGCCUACGAGCUUUUCACAUAUUGUUCUUCGCUUAUUUACUUUUCCGUUGCUACUGUUACAAUCACUACAAAACACCAAAAAUAUUACUUUUGCUACCGUUACUUUUGUUACCGUUGCCACUACUAUCAUAUUACUUUGCUACAAAACACUUUGCUGCAGAUACUAAGUUAUCCAGGUGUGGUUGAAUUGACAACUCAACUUCUAAUACUUGAGAAUAUUCUUUGGCUCCCCUUGUGUCGAAUCAAUAAAUUUGGGUUGAAUACUCUACCCUCGAAAACUGUUGCGAUCCCCUAUACUUGUGGGUUAUCAAGACUAUUUUCUGGCGCCGUUGCCGGGGAGCAUAGCUCUAUUCUUUGAGUCACUUGGGAUUUAUAUCUGCUGGUCACUAUGAAGAAGUUGAAAGACGCUAAGACAACAAUUUAUCCCUCAACUACGAGGGGAGGUAAGGAACUGCCAUCUAGCUCUACACUUGAUUCACCUUCUGUUUUGAGUAAGCUUGCGACACCUAAACCUGCUUCUGCUAUUCAUUCUGAUAUGUCGCAUGUUAUUGAUGAUGCCACUUCUGCUAUGCAUGAUACUUAUGAUGAAACUACUUCUAUGCUUGAUACUACUGUGCCACUUGGUGAAAUUCUUGAUGAACAACUUGCUAGGGUCAGAGAGAAUGAAAUUAUUGAUAAUAUUGAUGAAAGUGAUGAUGAAGACUCUCAACCUAAUAAAUAUGAAUUGCCUGUUGUGCCUGAGGGCUAUGUUAUGGAUGAAGAAAUUGCUAAAGAAAUUUUUUGCUUGCAAAGAUAGAUAUGAUGUUAAGAAGUUAUUAGCUAAAUGAAAGCAGCAACCUCUUAAUGCUAGAAUGAAACCUGACCCUGCUUUUGCUACUUCACCUAUCUGUGUUACUGAUAAGGAUUAUGAAUUCUCUGUUGAUCCUGAUAUAAUUACUUUGGUUGAAUUUGAUCCUUUUUAUGGCUAUGAAUCUGAAACUGUUGUGGCACAUCUUACUAAAUUAAAUGAUAUAGCCACCCUGUUCACUAAUGAUGAGAGAACUCGCUACUUUUAUAUCCUUAAAAUAUUUCCGUUCUCAUUAAAGGGUGAUGCUAAGAUAUGGUUCAAUUCUCUUGAUCCUGGUUGUGUGCGUAGUCCCCAGGAUAUGAUUUAUUACUUCUCUCCUAAAUAUUUCCCCGCUCAUAAGAAACAAGCUGCUUUGAGGGAAAUAUAUAAUUUUGUGCAAAUUGAAGAAGAGAGUCUCCCACAAGCUUGGGGGAGGCUUCUCCGAUUACUUAAUGCUUUGCCUGAUCAUCCUCUUAAGAAAAAUGAAAUACUUGAUAUAUUUUAUAAUGGACUAACUGAUGCUUCCAGAGAUUACCUGGAUAGUUGUGCUGGUUCUGUUUUUAGGGAAAGAACACCGGAUGAAGCUGAGAUUCUAUUGAAUAAUAUGUUGACAAAUGAAAAUAAUUGGACACUUCCUGAGCCAGCUCCUGAGCCAACUCCUGAGCCUAUUCCUAAACCAACUCCGAAGAAGAGAGGUGUUCUAUUUCUCAGUCAUGAAGAUAUGCAAGAGGCAAAGAAAUCUAUGAAAGAAAAAGGUAUUAAAGCUGAAGAUGUUAAGAAUUUACCUCCUAUUGAAGAAAUACAUGGUCUUAAUUUACCACCUGUUGAAGAAACAUAUGAUCUUAAUCCAUCACCUAUUGAAGAAGCUCAUGGUCUUGAUAACUCGACACAGGUAGUAAAGGUAAAUUCUCUCUAUAGAUUUGAUGAAGGUGAUAUUCGUCACUAUAAGUCUGCUAGACAAUGUUUGGAUGAGUUUGAUAAUUUUAUUGUCAAACAAGAAAACUUCAAUGAUUAUUUUGGUAGACAAUUGAAAUAUAAUUCCGAUACGCUUGAACACUUGGGUGAUUAUAUGUCUAUAGUUAAAGGUGAAUUUAAACUCAUUACUAAACAUGCUUCUAUGGUUACCACUCAAGUAGAACAAGUACUUAAGGCUCAAAAUGAUUUGCUCAAUGAGUUGAAUAGUAAGAAUAAUGAUUAUGUUGUUAGAGUGGCUACUAGAACUGGUAAAAUGACCCAGGAACCUUUGUAUCCUGAAGGCCAUCCUAAGAGAAUUGAGCAAGAUUCUCAGAGAAAUAAUAUUGAUGCACCUAGUCCUUCUAAAAAGAAGAAAAAGGAAAAUGAUAGGACUUUGCAUGCUUCUAGUGAACCUAUUGCUGAACCACCUGAGAAUCCAAAUGAUAUAUCUAUUUCCAAUGCUGAAACACAAUCUGGUAAUGAACAUGAACCUAAUGAAAAUGUUAAUGAUGAUGUUCAUGAUGAUGCUCAACCUAGCAAUGAUAAUAAUGUAGAAAUUGAACCUGCUGUUGAUCUUGAUAACCCACAAUCAAAGAAUCAACGUUAUGAUAAGAGAGACUUUGUUGCUAGGAAACACGGUAAAGAAAGAGAACCAUGGGUUCAGAAACCCAUGCCUUUUCCUCCUAAACCAUCCAAUAAAAAGGAUGAUGAGGAUUUUGAGCGCUUUGCUGAAAUGAUUAGACCUAUCUUUUUGCGUAUGCGAUUAACUGAUAUGCUCAAAAUGAAUCCUUAUGCUAAGUACAUGAAAGAUAUUGUUACUAAUAAAAGAAAGAUACCGGAAGCUGAAAUUUGCACCAUGCUUGCUAAUUAUACUUUUAAGGGUGGAAUACCAAAGAAACUUGGAGAUCCAGGAGUACCUACUAUACCAUGCUCCAUUAAAAGAAACUAUGUUAAAACUGCUUUAUGUGAUCUUGGAGCCGGUGUUAGUGUUAUGCCUCUCUCUUUAUAUCGUAGACUUGAUUUGAAUAAGUUGACACCUACUAAAAUAUCUUUGCAAAUGGCUGAUAAAUCAACUGCUAUACCUGUCGGUAUUUGUGAGGAUGUGCCUGUUGUGGUUGCAAACGUUACUAUUUUAACGGACUUUCUUAUUCUUGAUAUUCCCGAGGACGAUAGUAUGUCUAUUAUUCUGGGAAGACCCUUUUUGAAUACUGCAGGGGCUGUUAUUGAUUGCAACAAAGGCAAUGUAACUUUUCAUGUUAAUGGUAAUGAGCAUACGGUUUCCGAGGAAACAACGUCAAGUUCAUAGUAUCAACUCUAUUGGAAAAUUUCCAUCGAUUAUUUUUGGAGGUUUUGAAUUUCCUCUUCCUACUGUCAAGAAGAAAUAUGAUAUUCUUAUUAUUGGGGAUGUGCAUAUCCCCAUUGAGGUAACAUAGUGUUAUUCGAAAUUUCUCCGGUUCCAUGUUAUUCGGAAUGAGUUUGUUAACAAGACUUGAUCAACCUUGUUAGUGGAUUCCUUUUGAUGAGCAUGAGAUGGAUGAAACUAGAAAAAACAACCUUCUGUACCCUCCUUCUACUUUCUGUUAUUUAGUUGAAAUAAAGUAAAAAUAGUAUUUUUCUGUCUGUUUUGUGAUUUAUCCGUGCAAUAUAAAAAUACGCCGAAAAUAAAAGUUCUCCAAAUGCCCUGAAAUUAAAAUAUGAUUUUUCUGGAAUAUUUGAGAAUAUCUGGCACUGAGAACACAGCAGGAGGGGCAAGCACCUAGCCACGAGGGUGGAGGGCGCGGUGAUGUCUACUAUGCUACCUUCUUCUUGUAGACGUUGUUGGGCCUCCAAGUGCAGAGGUUUGUAGGACAGUAGCAAAUUUCCCUCAAGUGGAUGACCUAAGGUUUAUCAAUCCGUGGGAGGCGUAGGUUGAAGAUGGUCUCUCUCAAGCAACCCUGCAACCAAAUAACAAAGAGUCUAUUGUGUCCCCAACACACCCAAUAGAAUGGUAAUUUGUAUAGGUGCACUAGUUCGGCGAAGAGAAGGUGAUACAAGUGCAAUAUGGAUGGUAGAUAUAGGUUUUGUAAACUGAAAAUAUAAAAACAGCAAGGUAACAAGUGGUAAAAGUGAGCAUAAACGGUAUUGCAAUGCUAGGAAACAGGGCCUAGGGUUCAUACUUUCACUAGUGCAAGUUCUCUCAACAAUAAUAACAUAAUUGGAUCAUAUAACUAUCCCUCAACAUGCAACAAAGAGUCACUCCAAAGUCACUAAUAGUGGAGAACAAACGAAGAGAUUAUGGUAGGGUACGAAACCACCUCAAAGUUAUUCUUUCCAAUCAAUCCGUUGGGCUAUUCCUAUAAGUGUCACAAACAGCCCUAGAGUUCGUACUAGAAUAACACCUUAAGACACAAAUCAACCAAAACCCUAAUGUCACCUAGAUACUCCAAUGUCACCUCGAGUAUCCGUGGGUAUGAUUAUACGAUAUGCAUCACACAAUCUCAUAUUCAUCUAUUCAACCAACACAAAGUACUUCAAAGAGUGCCCCAAAGUUUCUACCGGAGAAUCAAGACGAAAACGUGUGCCAACCCCUAUGCAUAGGUUCAAGGGCGGAACCCGCAAGUUGAUCACCAAAACAUACAUCAAGUGAAUCACGUGAUAUCCCAUUGUCACCACAGAUACGCACGGCAAGACAUACAUCAAGUGUUCUCAAAUCAUUAAAGACUCAAUCCGAUAAGAUUACUUCAAAGGAAAAACUCAAUCCAUUACAAGAGAGUAGAGGGGGAGAAGCAACAUAAGAUCCAACUAUAAUAGCAAAGCUCGCGAUACAUCAAGAUCGUGCGAAAUCAAGAACACGAGAGAGAGAUCAAACACAUAGCUACUGGUACAUACCCUCAGCCCCGAGGGUGAACUACUCCCUCCUCGUCAUGGAGAGCGCCGGGAUGAUGAAGAUGGCCACCGGUGAGGGAUCCCCCCCUCCGGCAGGGUGCCGGAACAGGGCCCCGAUUGGUUUUUAGUGGCUAGAGAGGCUUGCGGCGGCGGAACUGAUCCCGAUCUAUUCUGUUCCCCGAAGUUUUUAGGGUAUAUUGGUAUAUAUAGGUGAAAGAAGUACGUCAGGGGAGCCACGAGGGGCCCACGAGGGCGGAGGGCACACCCAGGGGGGUGGGCGCGCCCCCCUGCCUCGUGCCUUCCUCGUUGCUUUCUUGACGUGGACUCCAAGUCUCCCGGGUUUCUUUCCUUCCAAAAAUAACUUCUCCAGAAGGUUCCAUUCCGUUUCGACUCCGUUUGAUAUUCCUUUUCUUUGAAACACUGAAACAAGGGAAAAAACAGAAACUGGCAUGGGCUCUGAGUCAAUAAGUUAGUCCCAAAAUAAUAUAAAAGUGCAUAAUAAAGCCCAUAAACAUCCAAAACAGAUAAUAUAAUAGCAUGGAACAAUAAAAAAUUAUAGAUACGUUGGAGGCGUAUCAGCAUCCCCAAGCUUAAUUCCUGCUCGUGCUCGAGUAGGUAAAUGAUAAAAACAGAAUUUUUUAUGUGGAAUGCUACCUAACAAAAUCAUCAAUGUAAUCUUCUUUAUUGUGGCAAGAAUAUUCAGAUCGAUAAGAUUCAAGAUAAAAGUUUAACAUUGACAUGAAAACAAUAAUACUUCAAGCAUACUAACAAAGCAAUCAUGUCUUCUCGAAAUAACAUGGCCAAAGAAAGUUAUCCCUACAAAAUCAUAUCGCCUGGCUAUGCUCUAUCUUCAUCACACAAAAUAUUUAAAUCAUGCACAACCCCGAUGACAAGCCAAGCAAUUGUUUCAUACUUUUGGUGUUCUCAAACUUUUUCAAUCUUCACGCAAUACAUGUGCGUGAGCCAUGGACAUAGCACUAUAUGUGGAAUAGAAUGGUGGUUGUGGAGAAGACAAAAAGGAGAAGAUAGUCUCACAUCAACUAGGCGUAUCAACGGGCUAUGGAGAUGCCCAUCAAUAGAUAUCAAUGUGAGUCAGUAUGGAUUGCCAUGCAACGGAUGCACUAGAGCUAUAAGUGUAUGAAAGCUCAAAAAGAAACUAAGUGGGUGUGCAUCCAACUCGCUUGCUCACGAAGACCUAGGGCAUUUUGAGGAAGGCCAUCAUUGGAAUAUACAAGCCAAGUUAUAUAAUAUAAAAUUCCCACUAGUAUAUGAAAGUGACAACAUAGGAGACUCUCUAUCAUGAAGAUCAUGGUGCUACUUUGAAGCACAAGUGUGGAAAAAGGAUAGUAGCAUUAUCCCUUCUCUCUUUUUCUCUCAUUUUUUGGUUUUUUUUUUGCGCCUUUUCCUUUUUUUUAUGGCCUCUUUUUUUUCGUUCGGAGUCUCAUCCCGACUUGUGGGGGAAUCAUAGUCUCCAUCAUCCUUUCCUCACUUGGGACAAUGCUCUAAUAAUUAUGAUCAUCACACUUUUAUUUUCUUACAACUCAAAAAUUACAACUCAAUACUUAGAACAAAAUAUGGCUCUAUAUGAAUACCUCCGGUGGUGUACUGGGAUGUGCAAUGAAUCAAGAGUGACAUGUAUGAAAGAAUUAUGAACGGUGGCUUUGCCACAAAUACGAUGUCAACUAUAUGAUCAUGCAAAGCAAUAUGACAAUGAUGGAGCGUGUCAUAGUAAACGAAAUGGUGGUAAGUUGCAUGGCAAUAUAUCUCGGAAUGGCUAUGGAAAUGCCAUAAUUGGUAGGUAUGGUGGCUGUUUUGAGGAAGGUAUAUGGUGGGUGUAUGAUACCGGUGAAAAGUGCGCGGUAUUAGAGAGGCUAGCAAUGGUGGAAGGAGGAAAGUGCGUAUAAUCCAUGGACUGAACAUUAGUCAUAAAGAACUCAUAUACUUAUUGCAAAAAUCUACAAGUUAUCAAAGCAAAGUAUUACGCGCAUGCUCCUAGGAAGAUAGAUUGGUAGGAAAAGACCAUCGCUCGUCCCCGACCGCCAAUCAUAAGGAAGACAAUCAAUAAAUAAAUCAUGCUCCAACUUCAUCACAUAACGGUUCACCAUACGUGCAUGCUACGGGAAUCACAAACUUUAGAACAAGUAUUUCUCAAAUUCACAACUACUCAACUAGCAUGACUCUAAUAUCACCAUCUUCAUAUCUCAAAACAAUCAUAAUGAAUCAAACCUCUGAUAGUAUUCAAUGCACUUAUAUGAAAGUUUUUAUUAUACCCAUCUUGGAUGCCCAUCAUAUUAGGACUAGUUUCAUAACCAAAGAAAAAUACCAUGCUGUUCUAAAGACUCUCAAAAUAAUAUAAGUGAAGCAUGAGAGUUCAUUUAUUUCUUCAAAAUAAAACCACCGCCGUGCUCUAAAAGGAUAUAAGUGAAGCACUAGAGCAAAUGAAAAACUACUCCGAAAGAUAUAAGUGAAGAUCAAUGAGUAGUUGAAUAAUUAUACAACUAUGUGAAGACUCUCUAACAUUAAAGAAUUUCAGAUCUUGGUACUUUAUUCAAACAGCAAGCAAAGCUAAAGAAAAUAAAAUGACGCUCCAAGCAAAACACAUAUCAUGUGGUGAAUGAAAAUAUAGCUCCAAGUAAAGUUACCGAUGAACGAAGACGAAAGAGGGGAUGCCUUCCGGGGCAUCCCCAAGCUUAGGCUCUUGGUUAUCCUUGAAUAUUACCUUGGGGUGCCUUGGGCAUCCCCAAGCUUAGGGUGUUGCCACUCCUUAUUCCAUAGUCCAUCGAAUCUUUACCCAAAACUUGAAAACUUCAGAACACAAAACUCAACAGAAAACUCGUAAGCUCCGUUAGCGAAAGAAAACAAAACACCACUUCAAGGUACUGUAAUGAAAUCAUUAUUUAUUUAUAUUGGUGUUAAACCUACUGUAUUCCAACUUCUCUAUGGUUUAUAAACUAUUUUACUAGCCAUAGAGUCAUCAAAAUAAGCAAACAACACACGAAAAAACAGAAUCUGUCAAAAACAGAACAGUCUGUAGUAAUCUGUAACUAACGCAAACUUCUGGAACUCAGAAAAAUCCACAAAAAUAGGAAGACCUAGAUAAUUUGAUUAUUGAUCUUCUGCAAUUGGAAUCAGUAUUUUAUCACGUUCUGGUGAUUUUAAAUCAUUGUUUUCGUGAACAGAAAGUUUCUGGAAUUUUCAGCAAGAUCAAAUAACUAUUAUCCAAGAAGACCCUAUAGGUCUUACUUGGCACAAACACUCAUUAAAACACAAAACCACAUCUAAACAGAAGCUAGAUGGAUUAUUAAUUACUAAACAGAACCAAAAAGCAAGAAACUAAAAUAAAAUUGGGUUGCCUCCCAACAAGCGCUAUCGUUUAACGCCCCUAGCUAGGCAUGAUGAUUUCAAUGAUGCUCACAAAAAGAUAAGAAUUGAAACAUAAAGAGAGCAUCAUGAAGAAUAUGACUAGCAAAUUUAAGUCUAACCCACUUCUUAUGCAUAGGGAUUUUGUGAGCAAACAACUUAUGGGAACAACAAUCAACUAGCAUAGGAAGGCAAAACAAGCAUAACUUCAAAACUUUAAGCACAUAGAGAGGAAACUUGAUAUUAUUGCAAUUCCUACAAGCAUAUAUUCCUCCCUCAUAAUAAUUUUCAGUAGCAUCAUGAAUGAAUUCAACAAUAUAACCAGCACCUAAAGCAUUAUUUUCAUGAUCUACUUGCAUAAAAAUUUUACUACUCUCCACAUAAGCAAAAUUCUUCUCAUUCGGAAUAGUGGGAGUAUCAUAAGAGACUUGGAUACUAUAAAUUGUUUCCACAUUAAAAGAGUAAUGUUCAGAGAAAGGGUACUCAUAAUCAUGACAAGUUUUAUAAAUAUAAUCAUCACUACUCUUUAUAGCAUAAGUUUCAUCGCAAUAAUCAUCAUAAGUAGCAACUUUGUUCUCAUCAUAAUCAAUUGAAACCUCUUCCGAAAUAGCGGAUACAUCACUAAAUAAAGUCAUGACCUCUCCAAAUCCACUUUCAUAAAUAUUAUAAGAUUCAACAUCCUCCAAAAUAGUGGGAUCAUUACUUCCUAAAGUUGACACUCUUCCAAACCCACUUUCAUCAAUAUAAUCAUCAUAGGUAGAAGGCAUGCUAUCAUCAUAACAACUUUGCAUAUCAAAACUUGGGAGGCAAAAAAUAUUAUCUUUAUUAAACAUAGCAUCCCCAAGCUUGGGACAAACAUUAAUUGCAGCAAAUAUAUUCUCAAAAACAUCAUCCUCAUCAAACAUAGCAUCCCCAAGCUUGGGCCUUUUCAUAUCAUAAGCAUAAUCACUCUCAUCAUUAAUAGUAUGGAUAGCACCAAUAGUAUAGCAAUUAUCAUAUUCUUCCAAGCAAGUGCCAAAAAGAUUUUCAAGAUCAUAAGAAGUAUGAAUAUCUUCCCAAUCAUAAUCAUCACAACAAGCAAUAGGCAUAACGAGAUCAUCAUCAAGUGCAUCAUCUUCCACAAUUAUUUUUGAUUCAUUUUCAUGGGGCACAACAAUAAUAGGAGCAACAUUAUUUGGGAGAGAUAUCUUUUUACCUCUCUUCCUUUUUCUUUUCUUCUUAUUCACCUCAUGUGUGGGUUCAAUCCUCUUUUUGGAGCUCCUUAUUAAUGAGAUUGGUUGAAUAGAAGGCUCCUCCUCGUUACCUGAUUCAUCAUAAGAAAUAAUAGGAGAAUACUGGGAAGUCUCUUCCCUUUGUUAGCAUUCUCUUCAUCUUCUAUUUGUUUUCUUUUCUUUAUGUAAUUGGCAAUAUAAGGAUUUUCAAUGCAAUUCACCGCACAAUACAUAUAACUUUCUUCUAGAUCAAAAUGAAGAACUCUAUCAAGGGCAAAUUCUGGAAUAUCCUUAGUUAUACGUUUCAUUUCUUCAUAACCCAAGAGCAAACUAAGUUCAUUAUGAUGUGCAAGGGAAAUCAAGUCAUCACAAUUUUUGGACACGAUACAAUCAUGAAACAAUUUGCAUUGGGUACUGAAAUGAUCACGUUCAUUGCAAAGUUCACAAGUACGGCUAAGAAAGUUUAAAUUUUCAGCACAAACAUCUAGCCUCUCUUGCAACCAUUUAGUUUCUAAGUGCUUAUGCCUCUUGCAAUAUCUAUCUUCCCUAUUUGGUGUGUACUUGCAAACCCAAUGCACUCCACAAAAAUUGACAUGUUUAUAGGAGACAUUUUCAUCAUAACUAGUGCAAUCAUCAUUAGUACUAUGGAUAUUCAAGGAGUUCAUACCAACAACAUUGCAAUCAUGCUCAUCAUUCAAAGAUUUAGUGCCAAACAUUUUAAUGCAUUCUUCUUCUAACACUUUGGCACAAUUUUCCUUCCCAUCAUGCUCACGAAAGAUAUUAAAAAGAUGAAGCGUAUGAGGCAAACUCAAUUCCAUUUUUUUUUGUAAUUUUCUUUUAUAGACUAAACUAGUGAUAAAACAAGAAACUAAAAGAUUCGGUUGCAAGAUCUAAAGAUAUACCUUCAAGCACUCACCUCCCCGGCAACGGCGCCAGAAAAGAGCUUAGUUGACGGGGUGUGAGUGCCGCUUACCUAGCCUCCUCGGCAACGGCUCCAGAAAAGAGCUUUAUGUCUACUGCGCAACCUUCUUCUUGUAGACGUUGUUGGGCCUCCAAGUGCAGAGGUUUCUAGGACAGUAGCAAAUUUCUCUCAGGUGGAUGAACUAAGGUUUAUCAAUCCGUGGGAGGCGUAGGUUGAAGAUGGUCUCUCUCAAGCAACCCUGCAACCAAAUAACAAAGAGUCUCUUGUGUCCCCAACACACCCAAUACAAUGGUAAUUUGUAUAGGUGCACUAGUUCGGCGAAGAGAAGGUGAUACAAGUGCAAUAUGGAUGGAAGAUAUAGGUUUUUGUAAACUGAAAAUAUAAAAACAGCAAGGUAACAAGUGGUAAAAGUGAGCAUAAACAGUAUUGCAAUGCUAGGAAACAAGGCCUAGGGUUCAUACUUUCACUAAUGCAAGUUCUCUCAACAAUAAUAACAUAAUUGGAUCAUAUAACUAUCCCUCAACAUGCAACAAAGAGUCACUCCAAAGUCACUAAUAGUGGAGAACAAACGAAGAGAUUAUGGUAGGGUACGAAACCACCUCAAAGUUAUUCUUUCCAAUCAAUCCGUUGGGCUAUUCCUAUAAGUGUCACAAACAGCCCUAGAGUUCGUACUAGAAUAACACCUUAAGACACAAAUCAACCAAAACCCUAAUGUCACCUAGAUACUCCAAUGUCACCUCGAGUAUCCGUGGGUAUGAUUAUACGAUAUGCAUCACACAAUCUCAUAUUCAUCUAUUCAACCAACACAAAGUACUUCAAAGAGUGCCCCAAAGUUUCUACCGGAGAAUCAAGACGAAAACGUGUGCCAACCCCUAUGCAUAGGUUCAAGGGCGGAACCCGCAAGUUGAUCACCAAAACAUACAUCAAGUGAAUCACGUGAUAUCCCAUUGUCACCACAGAUACGCACGGCAAGACAUACAUCAAGUGUUCUCAAAUCAUUAAAGACUCAAUCCGAUAAGAUUACUUCAAAGGAAAAACUCAAUCCAUUACAAGAGAGUAGAGGGGGAGAAGCAACAUAAGAUCCAACUAUAAUAGCAAAGCUCGCGAUACAUCAAGAUCGUGCCAAAUCAAGAACACGAGAGAGAGAUCAAACACAUAGCUACUGGUACAUACCCUCAGCCCCGAGGGUGAACUACUCCCUCCUCGUCAUGGAGAGCGCCGGGAUGAUGAAGAUGGCCACCGGUGAGGGAUCCCCCCCUCCGGCAGGGUGCCGGAACAGGGCCCCGAUUGUUUUUUUGGUGGCUACAGAGGCUUGCGGCGGCGGAACUCCCGAUCUAUUCUGUUCCCCGAAGUUUUUAGGGUAUAUUGGUAUAUAUAGGUGAAAGAAGUACGUCAGGGGAGCCACGAGGGGCCCACGAGGGUGGAGGCCGCGCCCAGGGGGGUGGGCGCGCCCCCCUGCCUCGUGCCUUCCUCGUUGCUUUCUUGACGUGGACUCCAAGUCUCCCGGGUUGCUUUCCUUCCAAAAAUAACUUCUCCAGAAGGUUUCAUUCCGUUUCGACUCCGUUUGAUAUUCCUUUUCUUCGAAACACUAAAACAAGGGGAAAAACAGAAACUGGCACUGGGCUUUGGGUCAAUAAGUUAGUCCCAAAAAUAAUAUAAAAGUGCAUAAUAAAGCCCAUAAACAUCCAAAACAGAUAAUAUAAUAGCAUGGAACAAUCAAAAAUUAUAGAUACGUUGGAGACGUAUCAUGCGCCCUACCUCCCUGGGCGCGCCCCCUGCCUCGUGGGCCCUUGGUGGCCCCCCUCCACUUAUUCCUGCACCCACACACUUCUUCUUCCUACCAAAAAAUCACCAUCCAGCUCAAGCACGAGUUCUAGCUCAUUUUGCUGCGAUUUUCGAUCUCCUUGCUCAAAGCACCUCUCACAAAACUGCUUGGGGGGAUUGUUCCUUGGUAUGUGACUCCUCCAUUGGUCCAAUUAGUUUUUGUUCUAGUGCUCUAUUCAUUGCAAAUUUGUGCUUCCUAGGUGACCAUGUUCUUGAGCUUGCAUGUCAAAUUUAUAUGGUUCCAAGUAGUUCCAAUGCAUGAUAUAGUCUCUAGGCACUUGUAGGAGUAGUUGCUAUCAAUUUUGUUGAGCUUGGUUCACUUUUAUUUUGAAGUUACUAAAAAUUUCAGAAUUUUUCAGAAAAUAAUGAAGAGAUUUUUGAGGGGUUCAUCGAGCCGAAGCUCGAAGGAAAAGCAAAAUGUAGAAGCAUAGAGGCCCAAAUAUAAUCUGCCUCGCCCCGCGGAGGUUCGGCCGUGUGAAUGGCCUUCCAAUGAUUUCUUGAGAGAAGUCGGGAUUUAUGACGAUUUAUAUUCAUUGGCUGAGAAUGCAGGCCUCACCGACUUCCUCCGCGACCAACGGUACCAGUAUCUCUUACUCACCAAUACUUUUGUGCAAAACUUCUACUAUUAUCCUAAGGAAACACCUCCUUCAGUAGAGUUUCAUUUAUAUGAUGUUGUUAAGAAGAUGCCACUAGAUGAAUUUUGCAAGGUUUGCAAAAUACCUUUCGAGGGUAGUUUAGAUGAACCACAUCGUAAAGAUGUGGACAGGUUUAUUGACACUAUUACUAUGGGGGAAACUAGGAAGGUUUCCGAUGCAAGAAUCACUAGCAUACAUUUUCCUGUUUUACGCUACUUUGCUUUAUUUGCUAGUCGUUGCUUAAUUGGUCGCGGAAACUGUGGAAACCUUAGUGUUCCUGAUAUUAUCAUUUUGUUCCAUGGUUUAUUUUCCGAUAACACUGUUAGUAGGGCGGUAUUAUUGCUAAACGGUUAAGUUUGAACCGUACAAAGGGUCCCAUCUUUGGAGGUAUUUAUGCUUCACGCCUUGCUGCACAUUAUAACAUACCUAUUAGGCACUAUGAAAAAGAAGAAAAAUUGCUGCCCAAUGCUUAUUUAGAUUAUAAGAGUAUGGUAGCGCAUGAUUUCAUUGUUAAAAAUAAGGAAGGGGCGCUUAAAUACAAAUUGUUCUUUGAUAAGCAUCACCCUGAGACUAUUAUCUUGCCUGCUCCUUCCUUGUUUAAUUUAUCUGCAGGCCCGUAUCUCGUUCCGUGGGUGGCCAUUUACGCUUACCGGAACCCUACACCAGCCACGGAGCCGGAACCAAUUUGAUCCUCCACGACAGUCUAAUUACUAUUGGGAUCCGGAGAUGACUGCCAGCCAGUGGCAGUCAGAGUCUUCUUCAUCUCAGUACGACCCCAGCUACAACUAUGGAUAUCCGCCAGGCCAUCCGUGGCAAUAAACCAACUUAGGCCAAAAGCCUAAGCUUGGGGGAGUACGUAUUUCCCACCGACAUUACAUUCAUGUUCACACACACUCAUUGCUAGAUGUUGGUGCUCAUACUUUUUCACUGUAAUAUCCAUGCUAGUUUAUUUUCUUUUUCUUGCUUUCUUCUUGUGUGUUUGAUAAACCUUAAGAAAAACCAAAAAAAUUAGCUGUAGCUUUUAUCUAGUUUACCUUUCUUGUUGUAGUAGUAAUAAUUAAAAAGAAAACCCAAAAAGAUUUCCCGUUCUUCUUUUGCUUGUUGGGAGCUUUCCCGUGUAAAUAGUUUUAUUUCUUUUCUUUUCUUUGGGGGUCGAUAGGAGAAGACCAUGAUUAAAUUGUUGAAGUGGCUCUUAUAUGCAUUAUUGUUGAUUUAGCCGAGAGCCCAUAUUGCCUUGUCUUCUCCUGUUUAUUGAAUGCUCACAGAUUCCAGCUUAGUCCAAUGCAUGUGCACUCUUAUUAUUAUUCACAUCGUUCGGUCGUGCAAGUGAAAGGCAAUUAUGACGAUAUAUGAUGGACUGACUGAGAUGAGAAAAGCUGGUAUGAACUCAACCUCUCUUGUUUUUGUAAAUAUGAUUAGUUCAUCGUUCCUCAUUCAGCCUAUUAUGAAUAAACAUGUUUGCAAUGACAAUUACAGAUCAUAGUUGCUUAUGUCAUGCUUGAUUAGCUAUGAGUUAUAAUAGUUUACCUUGCGUGCCAACAUGCUAUUAAAAUGGUUGUGAUGUGGUAUAGUGGGGUGGUAUCCUCCUUUGAAUGAUUUAAGUGACUCGACUUGGCACAUGUUCACACAUGUAGUUGAAACAAAUCAACAUAGCCUUCACGAUAUUUAUGUUCAUGGUGGAUUAUAUCCUACUCAUGCUCGUACUCAAUGUCUAUUAAUUUUAAUGCAUGUUCAUGACUGUUGUCGCUCUCUAGUUGGUCGCUUCCCAGUCUUUUGCUAGCCUUCACUUGUACUAAGCGGGAAUACUGCUUGUGCAUCCAAUUCCUUAAACCCCAAAGUUAUUCCAUAUGAGUCCACUAUACCUUCCUAUAUGCGGUAUCUACCUGCCGUUCCAAGUAAAUUUGUAUGUGCCAAACUCUAAACCUUCAAAUAAACAUUCUGUUUUGUAUGCUCGAAUAGCUCAUGUAUCAACUAGGGCUGUCCGUAUCUUCCAUGCUAGGCGGGUUAUUCUCAAGAGGAGUGGACUCCGCUCCUCACUCACGUGAAAAUGGCUGGUCUCCGGGAUGCCCAGUCCCGUGCUUUAUGCAAACUAAAUCAAAAAUAAUUGCAAACAAAACUCCCUCGGGACUGUUGCUAGUUGGAGGCACUCGUUGUUUCGAGCAAGCCAUGGAUUGAUGCUUGUUGGUGGAGGGGGGGUAUGAACUUUGCCAUUCUGUUUGGGAACCGCCUAUAAUGUGUGUAGCAUGGAAGAUAUCGCCAUCUCUUGGUUGUUAUGUUGACAAUGAAAGUAUGCCGCUCAAAAUAUUAUUUAUCUCUAUUUCAAAACCGAGCUCUGGCACCUCUACAAAUCCCUGCUUCCCUCUGUGAAGGGCCUAUCUAUUUACUUUUAUGUUGAGUCAUCACCCUCUUAUUAAAAAGCACUAGCUGAAGAGCACUGCUGUCAUUUGCAUCCAUUACUAUUAAUUUAUAUUGGGUAUGACUAUGAUUGGAUCUCUUUUACCAUGAAUUACAAUGUUUAGUCAGUCCUUGAUCUUUAAAGGUGCUCUGCAUUUAUGUUUUGCGGUCUCAGAAAGGGCUAGCGAGAUACCAUCUUAUUAUAUCAUAUCAUGAUUGUUUUGAGAAAGUGUUGUCACCCGAGAUUUGUUAUUAUUGCUCGCUAGUUGAUUAUGCCAUUGACAUGAGUAAACAUGAGACCUAAGAGUUAUUGUGAAUGUGGUUAGUCAUAAUCUUUGCUGAAAACUUGAAUGUUGGCUUUACAUAUUUACAACAACAAGAGCAAACAGAGUUUGUAAAAGUUUUUCUUUAUCACUUUCAGUUUAUCAACUGAAUUGCUUGAGGACAAGCAAAGGUUUAAGCUUGGGGGAGUUGAUACGUCUCCGUCGUAUCUACUUUUCCAAACACUUUUGCCCUUGUUUUGGACUCUAACUUGCAUGAUUUGAAUGGAACUAACCCGGACUGACGCUGUUUUCAGCAGACUUUCCAUGGUGUUAUUUAUGUGCAGAAACAGAAGUUCUCGGAAUGACCUGAAACUCCACGGAACAUCUAUUUGGAAAAUAAGAAAAAUACUGGAAGAAAAAUCCACGUCAGGGGGCCCACACCCUGUCCACGAGGGUGGGGGCGCGCCUGCCCCCCCUGGGCGCGUCCCCCUACCUCGUGGGCCCCCUGACGCUCCACCGACCUCAACUCCAACUCCAUAUAUUCACUUUAGGGAGAAAAAAAUCAGAGAGAAGGAUUCAUCGCGUUUUACGAUACGGAGCCACCGCCAAGCCCUAAAACCUCUCGGGAGGGCUGAUCUGGAGUCCGUUCGAGGCUCCGGAGAGGGGAAUCCGUCGCCAUCAUCAUCAUCAACCAUCCUCCAUCACCAAUUUCAUGAUGCUCACCGCCGUGUGUGAGUAAUUCCAUCAUAGGCUUGCUGGACGGUGAUGGGUUGGAUGAGAUCUAUCAUGUAAUCGAGUUAGUUUUGUUACGGUUUGAUCCCUAGUAUCCACUAUGUUCUGAGAUUGAUGUUGCUAUGACUUUGCUAUGCUUAAUGCUUGUCACUAGGGCCCGAGGCCAUGUGGUAGGACUAGGGUUCCUACCGGAUCGGCUCCUCAGGUUGUAGGGGCAGAACAACGGAGGUUGGGGGCGAAGACGGAGGCUCCGGCGCGUGGGCGCCGUCGCGAUGGAGGAUGCGGGCGGCGGCGACUAGGGCUGGCGCGGCUAGGGUUCCGGCUCCUCUGGAGCCGGGCAAUAGGAUAGAAAUAUCUUUAUUGCUUGAUUCCAAAAAGAGUCUUACAGCCUAUAUUUAUAACCUAGAUAACUUGUAUAAGAAUUAACCUAAGAUAACUUGCAUAAGAAUUAACCUAAGAUAACCUGUGGGCCAAGCCCCUAACUACUGCCCGGUGGGCCUCCUCUGGUUAUAUGCUAAACCGGUCAUAACAUCUCUCCCCGCCUGCGCAAACAGCUCGUCCUCGAGCUGAAAGUCUGGAUAGUGCUGGCUGAAGUCGUCAAGCUGCUCCCAAGGAGCCUCCUCCUCUGGAAGGCCCACCCACUGGAUCAGAACGAACCACACCCCGCGAUGGAGCUGCGCCUGCAACACCUUCUCUGGCUCCGGAAGAAGACGUUCGUCGGCGGUUGGAGGAAGCGCGGGUGGAGCGGCAGGUGGCUCUCCACGAAAAGGCUUGAGCAGCCCCACAUGAAAAACGUCGUGGAUGCGAGCACCGGCCGGAAGCUGAAGGCGAUAGGCCACCUGUCCAAUGCGCUCCAAGACGGCGAAGGGCCUGGCGUAGCGAGGGCCGAGCUUACGCUUCGCGCGCGGGUCGAGUGACUGCGUAGAGCGGUGGAGAAGACGCAGCCACACCCAAUCACCCACCGCGAACUCCGCCUCGCGAUGGUUGCCGUCAUAGUAAUGCUUGGCCAGCUGCUGGGCCUGGAGGAGACGCUGACGGACCUCAGCAAGCAUCUCAUCACAGGUGCGAAUAAGCUCACCGGCGGCCUCCGUCUGCGCCGUCGCCGGGUCCACCGGCAAGAUAGGCGGAGGCGGCCGACCGUAGACCACCUCAAAUGGUGUUGCACGCAGGGCGGAGUGAUAGGAGGUGUUGUAGCAGUACUCCGCCCACGCGAGCCAAUCCACCCAAGCCCGAGGGCGAUCACCUGUAACACAGCGCAAAUACAUGGCAAUCACCUUGUUAACGACCUCGGAUUGGCCGUCCGUCUGCGGGUGGAAGGCCGUGCUCAGGCGGAGCUUGACGCCCGCCAUCUUGAAGAGGUCGCGCCAAACAUGGCCUUGUACACCGGGUCCCGAUCACUGACGAUCGAAGAGGGGAACCCGUGAAGAUGAACGAUACCCUCGAAGAAGGCACGGGCCACGGACGCGGCAGUAUAUGGAUGCCCCAGCGCGAUGAAGUGGGCAUACUUGGAGAAGCGGUCGACCACAGUGAGAAUGACUGAUUUGUCGCCCACCUUGGGAAGGCCCUCGAUGAAGUCCAUGGAGAUAUCUGCCCAGACCUGAGACGGCACCUCCAAAGGCUGAAGCAAGCCAGCCGGCCGUAGAGUCUCCGUCUUGUUGCGCUGGCACGUCACACAAGACCGUACCCAGUCACGGACCAUGGCACGAUCACCUGGAAGGUAGAAGUCAGCGCGGAGACGAUGGAGUGUCUUCUGCACACCCUCAUGGCCCGCCGAGUGGGCGAGACGCAGCACCUGAUGACGAAGAUCGUUGUGCGCCGGAACGAAGACCCGACGCCCAUGGAGGAGCAGGCUGUUGGCAAGUCGCCACGGCUCCUCCAGCUCCCCCGCCGCCAGCUGCUGCUGAAGGAGGAGAGAGUCGGCCGUGUCUGCGGUCGCGCGCCCGAUGUCGGCGUAGAGAGCGAAGGAGGGCCCGGUGAUGAUGCAGAAAGCCGCCCCCUCAGCUGCACCGUCGUCCACCUCGGCGUCAUGCCGAGACAGGGCGUCGGCGACGGUGUUAAGGCGACCAGGCCGGUACACGACGGUGAAGUCAAACCCGAAGAGUUUACUGAUCCACUGGUGCUGCGGCACGGUCGAGAGCCUCUGAUCCAGCAUGAAUUUGAGGUUGUAAUGGUCCGUGCGGAUCCGGAAGGAGCGACCCCAAAGAUAGGGCCGCCAAUGGCGCACUGCCUGCACCAAUCCAAUGAGCUCGCGCUCAUAAGCCGCCAGCUUAAGAUGGCGUGCGGCAAAGGGCCGGCUGAAGCAGGCGAGGGGUCCAUCGCCCUGAUGAAGGACCGCACCGAACCCCGCGCCGGAGGCGUCGCAGUCGACGGUGAACGGGAGGUCGAAAUCCGGCAUCUGCAGGACGGGACCCGUCGUGAGGGCCCCCUUGAGGGCCGCGAACGCUGUAGUGGCCUCCUCAUCCCAAGAGAAGGCGUCACGUCGGAGAAGGCGCGUGAGCGGGGCCACGAUGAGGCCAAACUCCCGGAUGAACUUCCGAUAGUACCCUGCGAGGCCUAGGAAGCCGCGAAGAGCCCGCGGCGACUGCGGGGUCGGCCAGGCGGUGACGGCCGCCACCUUGUCGGCGUCCAUGGCCACCCCCUAGGCCGAGAUGACGUGGCCGAGGUAAGCGACAGAAGGCGUCCCGAACGAGCACUUCGAGCGCUUAAGGUGAAGAUGAUGCAUCACCAAGAACUCAAAGUGGCAGUGGUGAGUCCGAAACGCCGUCUUGGCGAUGUCAUCCGGGUGCAUGCGCAUCUGAUGAUACCCCGACCGGAGAUCCAACUUGGUGAAGAAGCGCGCCCCGUGUAGCUCGUCGAGAAGCUCAUCGACCACCGGAAUAGGAAACUUGUCCUUUAGUGUGAGCGCGUUAAGGGCGCGGUAGUCGAUGCAGAAACGCCACGUGCCAUCUGACUUGCGAACGAGGAGGACCGGCGCCGUGAACGGCGAUGUGGAGAUACGGAUGAUGCCCGCAGCAAGCAUGAGCGCACACUGCCGCUCCAACUCGUCCUUCUGCAUCUGAGGAUACCGGUAGGGCCGUACGGCCAAAGGGGCCGAUCCCGGAAGGAGGUGAAUGCGGUGGUCGUAGAUCCGGGCUGGCGGAAGGCCCCGCGGCUCCUCAAAGAGAUCACGGUGCUGCUGCAGGAGGUUGUCCAACAGCAGAUGCUCGGCCUCGGUGGUAGCCGCCGCCAGCUGAAGCGGGGGCGUCGCCGGGGUGCCUCCAAUGCCCUCCCAGCGGACGCGGCGGCCGAGACGCCAGAAGGUCAUCGUCAGGGCGUCGAAGUCCCAAAGAAUGGGACCGAUAGUCCGCAAGAAGUCGACACCGAGGAUGAAGUCGAAACAGCCCAAAUCAAUGCCGGCGCAAGUGAUGGUGAAGUGCUCGUCGCCGAUCAUGAUGGGCACGUCGCGGGCAAGCCCAUGGCAGCGUAGACGGUCGCCAUUAGCGACAGUGACCCGCAGCUGCUCCCCGCCUGUCGGCUGUAACGCGAGGCGUCACAUGGUGGCCUCUAGCAGGAAGUUAUGUGUAGAGCCUGUGUCCAGGAGGGCCACCAGGCGCUCGCCCUGGAUCGUGACCAGUAAGAGCAUCGUCCGCUCAUCACGGAUGCCGGCCAGCACAUGAAGCGAGACAACGAGGGCAGUGGCCGGAGCGGGCGCGGGUGCCGGCUCGGGCUCUGUGACGGCUGGGGCGCCGAGGCCAUCCUCCGGUGUGUCAUCCUCGGGCUCGUCCGUUGUCUCCAAGUAGAAGAGGCAUGGGCAGACAUGGCCCGGGGCAUAGGGUGCAUCACAGUUGAAGCACAGUCCCAAGCGUCGGCGCUCGAGCUGCUCCGCCUGAGUAAGGCGCCUGAACGGGCACGUCGUGCCCGGGUUGGCCGCCGGUGCUGCAGUGGAUGACGCGGGUGUCGUCGGUGGCGGCCGGAAGGUUUGGCAGCCCCCACGAGGCGCGGAUGGCCGCGUCACGGCCUGGGCGCGCUGCUCGAAAGCCCGAGCGUAGUACAUGGCCGUCUGAAGGUCUUGGGGCCCCUUCAUCUCAACGUCCACGCGGAUGUGGUCGGGAAGGCCGCUGACGAAGAGUUCAACCCGCUGUAGGGCCGUCACACCCGGCGCGUGGCACGCCAGGGCCUGGAAGCGGUCGGCGAAAUCUUGCACCGUGGAGGUGAAGGGCAGGCGGCCCAAGUCGGCCAGUCGGCUCCCGCGUAAUGGCGGUCCGAAGCGAAGAAGGCACAGCUCGCGGAAGUGCUCCCACGGGGGCAUGCCGCCCUCGUCCUGCUCGAGGGCGUAGUACCAUGUCUGGGCUGCCCCGCGAAGAUGAUAGGACGCCAGCCAAGUGUGCUCCGACGCGGGCGUGCGCUGCCCACGGAAGAACUGGUCACACUGGUUGAGCCAGUUAAGCGGGUCGUCGGAGGCGUGGUAGGUGGCAAAGUCGAUCUUCGCGAACCGGGGCGGCUGCUGGUGUGGCGCACCCUGGCCCACUGCCUCGGCGGUGCGGAGGGCUGAUGACGGCGCUCGGUCCAUGGUGGGGAGGCCGGCGUAGUGCCCUGUGGCGCCCGAUGCCUCGGGCUGCAAAUGGGAAUCCGACAGUGGCCGGGCCUCCGUGUAAGCCGGCGGAGAGGACGUCCCGUGGAGCCAGCCUGGAAGCGGAGAUGGUGACGGUGGGAAGCGGACCUCCUGGAUCGGGAGUCCGCUCGGCGAGGACCGGCCCAAGCUAGGGCUGGGCGGGGGUAGUGGUGGCACCUGCACGGUUGCAGCUAGGGGGAACGGCGCGGCGGGGGAUGGUGCGGACGGCGUGGCCCAGGUCGCCACUGCGGGCCCUGGGCGGCGGCUGGCGGCGCGGGGGGCGCCGCAAGUGUCGGCGGCGGCCACUGUGGCCACGGCGGCGUCGAAGCCGCCGGUGAGGGAAGCGCCGGAUAGCCCCCGGUGAUGGCCGGAUGGAGCUGCGGGGGCGGCCCGUACGGGCCAGCCAAGUAGAGGCGAACCUUGUACAGCGACGCCCAGGUCGUUGAGCACGCCGGCCAUGGCCUCCGGUGUAAACUGCUGCGGCACGGGGGGAGGCGAUGGCGGCGAGUGGAGGACGGGAGGUGGCGGCUGGCCUUGGCCCGGCGUGGUGUCGGGUGCAGGGGAGAUCGGCGCCGACAGCGAGGCCGUGGCGCCAGCCGAUAGCGAGGCCGUGACGCCCGGCGAUGAAGCGGCGGCGGUGGUGGAGUUGGUGGCAGCGGCGGUGGGGGAGCUGGCGGGCAGCGGCGGCGGUGGUGGUGGCGGUGAAGACAUGGUCGAGACCCGGGUACCUGAUACCAAAUUGGUAGGACUAGGGUUCCUACCGGAUCGGCUCCUCAGGUUGUAGGGGCAGAACAGCGGAGGUUGGGGGCGAAGACGGAGGCUCCGGCGCAUGGGCGCCGUCGCGAUGGAGGAUGAGGGCGGCAGCGACUAGGGCUGGCGCGGCUAGGGUUCCGGCUCCUCUGGAGCCGGGCAAUAGGAUAGAAAUAUCUUUAUUGCUUGAUUCCAAAAAGAGUCUUACAGCCUAUAUUUAUAACCUAGAUAACUUGCAUAAGAAUUAACCUAAGAUAACUUGCAUAAGAAUUAACCUAAGAUAACUUGUGGGCCAAGCCCCUAACUACUGCCCGGUGGGCCUCCUCCGGUUAUAAGCUAAACCGGUCAUAACACCAUGAUUUCAGAUCUGAACCUAUUAUGUUUUCAUGAAUAUAUGUGAGUUCUUGAUCCUAUCUUGCAAGUCUAUAGUCACCUACUAUGUGUUAUGAUCCGGCAACCCCGAAGUGACAAUAAUCGGGACCACUCCCGGUGAUGACCAUAGUUUGAGGAGUUUAUGUAUUACCUAUGUGCUAAUGCUUUGUUCCGAUACUCUAUUAAAAGGAGGCCUUAAUAUCCCUUAGUUUCCAUUAGGACCCCGCUGCCACGGGAGGGUAGGACAAAAGAUGCCAUGCAAGUUCUUUUCCAUAAGCGCGUAUGACUAUAUUCGGAAUACAUGCCUACAUUACAUUGAUGAAUUGGAGCUAGUUCUGUGUCACCCUAUGUUAUGAUUGUUACAUGAUGAACUGCAUCUGGCAUAAUUCUCCAUCACCGAUCCAAUGCCUAUGAGCCUUUCACAUAUUGUUCUUCGCUUAUUUACUUUUCGGUUGCUACUGUUACAAUCACUACAAAACACCAAAAAUAUUACUUUUGCUACCGUUAAUUUUGUUACCGUUGCCACUAUUAUCAUAUUACUUUGCUACUAAACACUUUGCUGCAGAUACUAAGUUAUCAAGGUGUGGUUGAAUUGACAACUCAACUGCUAAUACUUGAGAAUAUUCUUUUGCUCCCCUUGUGUCGAAUCAAUAAAUUUGGGUUGAAUACUCUACCCUCGAAAACUGUUGUGAUCUCCUAUACUUGUGUGUUAUCAAUGCAUCCAAACUUGGAUUCAAGUGCACCCCACAGUUCUUUGGCAUCACGCGUAUGCAAAUAUGCAUCAACCAACUUGUCACCCAACACACUUAUGACGACACCCCACAAAGAUUACAAUCAUCUCUAAGGACGCUUUGUUCUGUUCACAAGUAAGCGGGCAUCUUGAAGCACCAGCUGAAACAUUGUACAUGUUCAUAAAGGUGAUCCACUUGAUGGUUUUGGUCUGCCACCUCUUGAAGUGAGCACCUAUCACCAGUAGCGAUUUUAGAGCAGCAACAAUCAGUCAACGGAAAUUGCCUGAACAUAUGAGGUUUCUGGAUUGUUAGGAAAUUAGACAUUUUUUUGCUUAAGCUGAGCCCAGGUUAGCAUGGCAAAGCACAUACAACAAACUAGGAACAUCUAGCAUAUAGGCAUAUGGGCCAGAGGCGCAUGUCAAUAGAGAGAGAUUCGGAACAUAUGAGUUCACCGGAAAUUAGGGUGCAACAACGUCAUUGGCCAUGAUGGUAAAGAUAAGGUGUCCAUCCGUUGUAGAGGAAGCAGACGGAUGGUUGUCGUGGAUGUAGUCGAACUUGAGCGAACAGUCGCACUAAAGACGCUCCCCAAAAACCUUACUGCCCCUCUCCCAGUGCAACUUGUCAAGGGACGCGGUUACGGAGGUGUCUUCUCUCCCAGAUUGUUGUGCACACAGACGCCAGGAUGGGAUUGCUGAAGAAGUAGCUCGACACAAAGAGCUUGGCCAGAGUGUGUGUGUUCUAUCUACGACUAUGUGUAUUAUGUAUAGCCUAUUUUUGCGGAUGUAUUCUGCAUAGCAUCUCUGCUCUAUAUUUCCUUUGCAUAGAGAGGACGUGUAGGAAACUAAAGAAAUGCAACUGACACGUGGGUGGAAGACCUCUCUGAAAAUAGAGAGUGUGUCCAUAAUGAUCUCGAGUAUUGACAUGUACGCUCAAAGCUAGGUAGUGCACUGCCAUGCAAAAUUUUAGUUCUUCCAAAUAAGGCGCAUAAUAUUAGCUCAAGCGCGAACUCAAUUCACGCGUGUUGCAUGAAGUGAGUGCGUGAAACCGCGCAUUGCAUGAAAGGAGUAAGCGAGCAUGCGUGUUGUUGCUCUUUUUUAUCAUCUUACAAAGAGUAGUAUAACAACUCACCUUUUUAUAAUUAAACUAAUAAACCUUAAUCAAAACUAUUCAACUAGGCUAAAAAUAAAAACAAUAGUUUUCCUUGAUUUGAUACAGCUCGCGCAACCCACAUCGAAACAAUGCUUUACCCUUAGAUGUUCAGUUAAGUGCUGCGCCUCAACACAUUUCACGGAGAACUAGCUAGCUCCGGGUUCGAGUGGCAUUUCACCCCUGGUGCUACUUUCCCUCAUCUAGCAUUAGGAUGUUAAACUUACACGCUUGUCAUGUUAUUCGGAUGAGCCAUUGAGAUUCCACAAUUUUACUAGGUUGAGGCAUAAGAUCCAGGGUAGUCCCUAUAUAUUUAAAGAAAUAUGAGAGCAUUUAGAUCACUUUUUCUUACAGAGUACAUAUUGAGGACAUUUGAUGUAUUGCCUUUUAAGUUCUUGAUGAAUAAUUAAAAAAAAUGGUUGCAUGCAUCGCCGUGAUGCAGAGGCCAAGGUUCAUCCUUUUUUUAAAAAUAAACAUAUGGGGGAAAUAUUUUUCUUAUUGGACAGGAGGGGCAUCUUGCUUUCUUUUCUUUUUUGAACCUGGACAUCUUCGUGACACGGCCCAGGGCCCGGGCCCAGUAAAAACACGACACGGCACUGAGCAGGUGCGUAAACUCUCUCAGAAGGCGGAAAAUGCCCCUCUCUCCUUCUCUUCUGAUCUCUGCCACCUCUCCCUCCAUGGCCACCAAGAGGAAGCCGGCGGAGGCGAAUGCGAAGGAGUAGGCGAGGGAAGACGACGCGGAGGGGCUCUUCUCCUCGCGCUCCAUCGUCNNNNNNNNNNNNNNNNNNNNNNNNNNNNNNNNNNNNNNNNNNNNNNNNNNNNNNNNNNNNNNNNNNNNNNNNNNNNNNNNNNNNNNNNNNNNNNNNNNNNNNNNNNNNNNNNNNNNNNNNNNNNNNNNNNNNNNNNNNNNNNNNNNNNNNNNNNNNNNNNNNNNNNNNNNNNNNNNNNNNNNNNNNNNNNNNNNNNNNNNNNNNNNNNNNNNNNNNNNNNNNNNNNNNNNNNNNNNNNNNNNNNNNNNNNNNNNNNNCCCUCGGGGAACUAGGAGUCCCCAUAAUGAUCUGAAAGAUCAAAACUAUACAUUUGGUGUUCGUAAUUUGAAGUACAGUACUCCCUCCGUCCCGAAAAACAUGUCGCGAGGUCAUUUUUUCAGUUUAGUCCUUGUCGUUCUCCCGACCAAACCCGCGGUCCUCAUCCUUCCUCAGCCUUCUCCGACGCCGGCCGAUUUGGUCGCCCCGCCCCCGCCGCCCCACGCCGCCUCCGCCUUGCUUCCCUCCCGCCUCCCCACACCGGCGCCUUGUUCCCCUCCCCUCCGACCGCCGCCUCGUUCCCCUACGCCCGCCGCCUUGUUCUCCUACGCCCGCCGCCCGCGAAGGUUCAAUUUUGGAGACCACCGUCUGCAGUCCUCGCUCUCCUUCCGCCUGCGCUCGUCGUGAACCACCUCCUCUCCGUCGACCAUGAAGAUCGCCCCUCCAUGGACGCCGUCGACCCGAGCACUGGGAAGCAUGGGUGCCCCUUCUCCAAUCCGCAAACGGUGCCUUCCACCAGCGGCGCUCCGUCCGACGGAGCCGUCCUUCCCCGAGGGUGGCAAGCCGGAGCUGGCACUGCCCUUCGUCGACCCCCUCCUCGCCGUAUGGCUGCCUCGCCGCCCAGCAGCCACCACCACUGUCCACCUGGCCGUCAACCUCAUCCACUACUACAGAGCGAAGGUGAGGAUGCUUGCCUGAAUCCCCAAAAUGUCAAAACUGAAAAUUUUAGUACUGUACUCACAUGUGAAUCACUCCAUUUUGGGCAUUUUUUGUGGAAUUUUGAAACAUUUACUCCAUUUUGGGACACACGCAGGUGGGAUUCAGUGUACUCUACGAACUGCUUCAAAAUGUAGGGCAUUUUGGGACACACACAGGUGUGCAUUUUUGUGGAAUUUUCAGUUUGUAAAAUUGGAUUAUUGAAGAAGUGUAUUUUCCAUUUUGAAACUGAAAAUAAACCGUAUGUUCUGCAUUCUGUAUGUUGAGGCGGAAAAUGCCCCUCUCUCCUUCUCUUCUGAUCUCUGCCACCUCUCCCUCCAUGGCCACCAAGAGGAAGCCGGCGGAGGCGAAUGCGAAGGAGUAGGCGAGGGAAGACGACGCGGAGGGGCUCGCGCUCCAUCGCCGACGUCGGCCUCGACCACCCCACCCUCCGAGGCGCUUCCCCUUCUCUGUGGCCCUAGUGAUUUGGCAGUCCCCUCGGGGAACUAGGAGUCCCCAUAAUGAUCUGAAAGAUCAAAACUGUACAUUUGGUGUUCGUAAUUUGAAGUACAGUACAAGUUUGGCAUAGAAGACAUGUCUGAAACGUCACGCACCUACUUCUAGUUGUGAUAUGGAGAGAGUAAUAAUAAUAUGUGAACAUUAGUGCAUUCUAUUGGAUUCGUGCAUAAACUGUAACAGCAGGCAGCAGCAGCAGCACAUAGGCACAUAGGAGCAAGGGCGAGCAAGAGGGGCACUGGAUCUGUGGAGGAAGACAAGCAGAGGAGCACAGAUGAGAGGAUAAAUCGAUCCUCACCUGCCGGCUGCCGAGGAGGAGGAGGAGGAUCGCCACAGCCGCUGCUGGAACCAGAGAAAAGGGGCCGCUCGAAUCGGACAAGAACAGCCGCCACCGCAAUACUCUCUCGGCCUCUCUUCUCUUCCCACCCUUUUACCCUAGCCGCCAAGCCAAUUUUGGCCCAGGCCUUAUAUCCCCCCUAUCUCCUCCCGCCUGUAUUAAGCGCUGCCUAAGAACACUUUCUUUAACAUUGAGUACAAUUGCCGUCUUCAAAUCAGAAAUGGCAAUCCUCUCAUCUUCCAUACCGUCAGUUUUGAGAAAACAGCAAAUCCAGUGUCCACUAACCUCAUGUCUUGUAGGCCCAAUACAUGGACCAAAACAAUGACCAAGUAAGUACACAUAGUUAAUAUUCGUUUAAAAGGACACCAGAUUCACUUAUAGAGCAACUUUCUCGAACAGUUUGUUCAGAAAUUAAAUAGAAUGACAGAAGCAAAGUACAUACAGUUGCCAUUUUGCUACAUAUGAUUGUGUAGUUGCGCAGUUGGACCAAAUCAAAACAUGUUGAAUGUCAACACAUUAUUCGCCAUCCCAUCUUCUUCCAAGAUACUAGUUCCCAAUGCUCAUCUACAGUGUUCAGCAAUUUAGACCCAUCGUGUUGAGAAUCAUGCAAGUGGUUACAGAGGUGGUAAGUUGCCUAUGGAGGUUUGUGCACUUGAAAAACUGUUCGAGUCUUGCUGAUCAUCAGGUUCCCAUUUAGAUAUAGCAUAAAGUACUCUCCCUUUCCAUCCUUGUAGCAGCCAACCGCGAUCUUCAACAGCAAAAAAUUCCUCAUGAUAAAGUGAGUUCUUCAUGUGUACUGUUUUCUUUAAGACAGCUUGAUCGACAGGAAGCUGCUGGAACCCAGCCUUGAGAAAUCUUGCUUGCCACUGCCUGUAACUUUCUGGCCUAGUCCUUUCUGCAUCCUCACAUGCUAUGAUGUUAAGUGCAUCCCGCCCAAAUAUGAUCCUCUCAAUCAUCUCCCUUGCUUCAUUAUCCCGUGGAACAUUUGCAUCAAGCAUAUCAAACAUUGAAGAGUAAUGGAGCAUAACCUCUUUGAAUCGUUGUAUGAAGAAGGGAGAACUGUGUAAACCAUUCAUGGUGCAAGAAAUAAAAACCUUUGGGUUCAUCCUCCUCAUAAUUUUCAGCACCUCAUCCCUUGCGCUAUUUAUGGAUUCGGUUUCAUGACCAAGAUUCUUCAUCCGGAAUAUGCAGUUGAUUAUGAGAACUUCAUCCUCGUCAAUGUUAAGAUCCUCAAUUUUAAUGGUCUCCCAUCUUGAAGCGGCAAUGCCCUGAUACUGAAAAGGUACCUUGAACAUAUUUGCAUAAUCAGCUAACCGCUUCCCUGUCUCCUCGAUCAUUUCGCAAGAGCGAAAACCUGGCUGGGGAGCUUCUAUACCUGUGAUCCGAAGCUUAGGGGCUCCCUCUUCUCGCUGUGCAAACCUCUGAAUCAUUGAUGGCCACUGAAAGCCGAAGCUGAUGCCAAAAUCGACGAUGUGCACCCUUGGUUGCCUUUGUGAGACAUCAAGAAUAGUUUGGUUGGCAAAGUUGUAUGACACCCUUUUGAAAGGGCAAGCUUCAAGAAGAAGGCUGUAAGCCUCUACCCAAUCUGUGGUAUUUGUUCGCCUUUCCACGAGAUUGCGAUAAACCUGACUCCCAAUUCCAGCCAAGCGUGCCUCAAGGCCAUCCACCAAGUAAAAUGCCAGUCUCUGAGUACAAUCACCAUCUGCUGAGGAGUGUCGUCUUAUCUUCUUUAGGAGGUCAUUGGCCAACAGGUGGUUGUCUUUUGCCACAGCUUCUGCGCAAUGGAUGAGGAGAGUCCUGAGAUCAACCAACUCUUUCCUCGGUUGCUUCCUAACCCAUAGCUUCUGACGCCCUUUCCUCCGGCUUUUCAGUGAGUUUUUGUUUCCUUCCCCCGCCAUCCUUUCUCGCAGUCUUGUUAUUCCAUCGAAACUCUUCUGGCCAUAGCAUAGCAGAACUCGGUCGAAAUUUUCAUUUCGAAUUAUUGCACAAGUGGUGAUGGCAUGAUGUUUAUUGCUCCUUCCUUGAAAGGUAUCCCAGCCCCUUUGGUCCGCCACCUCAAAGAUUGUGUUUUCGCUCAUUUCUCCUACAUUUGCCUUUGUAGUCAGUUGGGAAAUAUAAAGUAUGUCGUUCUUUAAAUAUAUCACCAUCUUAACAAUACUUGCAGCAAACAUCUUUUCCUCCUCGACACCUCUUUGACAAUGCAAGGCAGGGAAGCCAGAUCCGGAAGUCCAUCCAACACUUGUCAACGGCUGGUUUGGUAGAAAAAGACUCCUAUUAUAGAUAUAUGAACUCAACGGGGUUGCUAAGGGCUGUAACACAUUGUAACUGGAAUAGUCAUUACUGAAGCUAGUGCUCCAGAGCCUCUUGUAACGGCUGGUCCCACUCUUAUCAGAGUCGUCUGGUUUGUUGUUGGUAUGCAAUGGCGGCCAGUUAGUAGCCGAUGCACAUACCUCCCCAAGAAUGUCACGGAAUGGCUUCUCAGCAUCCUGGAGAGCAGCCUCUCCUUGGCAUAUGUCGACCCUCUCGUCGACGUCUUCCAUCAGCAUCUGGCUUAUGUAGUGAAGAGCAUCGUUUGAUCUGAUCUGGCGGUGCUCAGGGCUACCCCCUGGAGAAAUCUGAAAUUGGUUUUGUCCAAUGCUGCUUUUGUUACUGCACAACCCAGGGUCAGUGACUCCACCAAGCAGAUCUGUGCUUUCUUCGUUUGCUGGGGAAAGAACUGUGGACUGUGGACCACUCAGGUCGUAGUUGUACACGGUGAGUUGCUGCUCGGAAGAGGAAUCACUUUCGUCGGUUGCUGCGACAUUGUCCAGAUUGUCAUGGAGAGGUUCAGUCGCCAUCGUGGAAAGUCUGCUUUCCACCUCAAUAUGAGAUAUAUGGUUCUUUGUCUUAGCAAAUGAAUCAGCUUGUUUCCUGGAAGAAGAAAAAGGGGAAAUGGAAGCUAAAUUAUUUGGUUCACCUAGCAAAUGUGCUACAAUCUAGAAUGGCCAUAAAACGGAAUUCUGGUCAGCGAGCUCCUUUUUUUUCCUUCACUUUCUGCUUCUUCCUUUUUACUGGAGAUUCAGCUUGAAAAUAAUAAUUUAUGAUGGCUUGCACACAUGAGAACAACUAUUUUAGCCGGUUAAACACAGAAUGUUUCAGCAUCAACAACAGAAACAGAACACCUAAAGCGAUUUUGUAUCUAUGACGCGCCUAAUACCACUGUUCUUUUUUUUUUUGCAGGAGGCUCCCAUCUGAUCUGAGCAAGUAGCAAAGGUAGGGAAGCACACACCUUGGUUAUUGAGCAGCAGCAUCAGAUCCAAUGCUUUGAGAGAAUGGUUGUUCCAUCAGAUUGAAUGCUUUGAGAGAAUGGUUUUUCCUCAGCAGAUCCAAUGGUUGUGGUGGUGUGUACUAAGUUUGUUGUUCCUCUUGUUCCUUGUGGCUUUGUUCCCAACGUCAGCCAUGGUGAUUGUGACACAGAAUGAGUCCAGAUUACAAGCAAUUAUCCUGUCGAUUAGUUCUAGGCCCGGCUGUGUAUCAGAGGCAUAAAAAAGUGUUUAUUAGGAACGCUUGCCUGGGCUUCAACAUUAUUAAAGUUCCUAAUUGAAUAGUUAAAACAAAUCUGAGGUAAUCGAAAAAAAGGAGAUGCACUAUUCAAAGAAAAUUUUCUUUCUUUUCCACUUGAUUUUUGAUAUAUAUAAUGGUUUUGAUUGAUUUUUUCGAGGAUAGUUUGUUGUGCUCUAUCUCAAUAAAAAAAAUUGAUUUUUUUGCCGUGAUUAUUAUAGUUCACAAUUGAAUUGUCGGUGUCUAGCUAGUCUGAUGAGAUUUUCACUUGUGUAGUUCUGUCCUGAAGUAUUUGUACCAAAUGUUUAAUUACUGUAACUGCCUUUGAAUUUUAUUUACAACUUCGACAGCAGUGUUAGUUAUCAGGUCAUGAAAAUGCACAUCCAAAUUCUAUUUAUACUGCUAGAAGAACAGGUAAAAAACAAGAGAAAACUAAUUUAGAAGAAUAUAAAACAAAAUCUGUUAAAAGUUCUGUUGUAAUUGAAAAAGGAGGCACUAUAUAAAGGAAAAUUUAUUUUUUUUCUUCAUUUAUUAGUUGAUAUGUAUAAUGGUUGAAUUUUUGGAGGGUAGUUUGUUGUACUUUAUCUCAUUAAACCAUCAGAUUUUUUGUUGUACUCCCUCUCUCCUGAAUUACCAUUUUUUGUGAGAAAAACUUCAGAUCUAUUCAUCUUUAAUAAUGGCAGUACAAUGAAUACUAGAAAUAAUAAAAAUUACAUCCAGAUCUGUAGACCACCUAGCGACGACUACAAGCACUGAAGCGAGCCGAAGGCGCGUCACUAUCAUCGCCCCUCCCUCACUGGAGCCGGGCAAACCUUGUUGUACUAGACAGUCGAGAAGUCGUCGUGCUAAAGCCCCAUAGAACCAACACACCAGAAUAGCAAUCGCCGCCGAUGAAGAGUGUAGAUCAGAAGGAUCCAAUCUGAAGACACAAGAACAUAGACGAACAGUGAACAUAUCCGAGCAAAUCCACCAAAGACAGAUUUGUCGGAGACACACCUCCACACGCGCACCGACAAUGGUAGACGCAUCAACAGAACGGGGACUAGGCGGGGAGACAAUUAUUCCAUCCUCAGGGAGCCGUCGCCGUCUUGCCUUCCAGAGCAGGACACAAACCCUAACAAAACUCAAAAAAAUCUAAAAAUGGAGCCCUCCCACGGGCAAGGGCCGGGAUCCACUCCGCCCCCAUGGCCCUAAGGCAGAAGAACCCUAGCUUUUUUGGGGAGGCGGCGGCUGGCUAGGUCGUCUCUCUCUCCCGAAUUACUUGUCGCUCAAAUUGAUGUAUCUAGCACUAACUUAGUGCGGGAUGGAGGGAGUAGUUAUUUUCUAUGUUUUGAGAUAAAACUUUUUUGACAUGUCUUCAUAGUAUAAAGAUUUGAGACGGAAAUCCGUUCGUGCUCCCGAGAGCGCGCGCCCUUACAUGCGAGAAAAAACUUUUCGAAGUGUGAAAAAAUUCCAAACAAAAAUUUGGCGCAUACAUCUCGAUAUUAUAUGCGUGCCCGUCAAGUUUCGGAGAAAACCGACAUUUUUUGUGGCUUGUGUAAAAGAGACAAAAUGAUGUAUUGUGAAAAGCAUUUUUUAACAUCGGAUUUUGUCUUUUUCACAUACGACACAUAAGUUUUCAGUCGCGAAACGAUUUUUUGAGCAUGUACAAUAUCGAGUUGUACGUGUCAAGUUUUUGUUUGGAUUUUAUUGACAUUUUAAAAUAAUGUUUAAAACACAUUUUAAAACCAUCCCGCAAAAAAAACACAUUUUAAAACCAGGAGUGUGUGCUCCCAUGUGUCAAAACACCACUCUCGAUUUGAGAUUGAUAUACACAGCAGAAAAAAAAUAGUGUUAUUUACCCUAAAGACGACUCAGGCACUCAGCACAGUUAUUAAAACACCACUCAGCACAGGGCCCAGGAUCAGUUAAAACACGACUCAGCAGUUCAGCAGGUGCGUAAUCGCUCUCCGAAGGCGGAAAACGUCUCCUCUCUCUCCUUCUCUUCGGUUCUCCUCCGCGACCUCUCUCUCCAUGGCCGCCAAGAGGAACCUCGGCAGGUCGGCGGCGGCCCAGUAAAUGGAUCAAAAUGAUAACCAAGUACACAUAGUUAAUAUUCGUUUAAAAACACCAGACUCACUUAUAGAGCAAAUUUCUAUAACAGUUUGUUCAGAAAUUAAAAAGAACACACAAGGUACUAUUUUACAGUCGCCUUCUAUUUAUUUCCAACAUAUGGUAGUGCAUGGUGCGCAGUUGGACCAAAUAAAAACAUGUUGAGUAUAAACAUUCGAAUCUCCAUCACAUCUCCUUCCAAGAUAGGUUUCCCAUGCUCAUCUCUGAUGAAAGAAUGUCUUACCGUCUUCAGCAUUUUAGAUCCACUGUGUUGAGAACCAUGCAAGGAAGUUGUCUCCGCAGCCUGCAAAACUGUUCGGAUCUUACUGGUCACCAUGCAUUUCAUCAGGUUUCCAUUUGGAUAUAGCAUAAAUUACUCUCCCUUUCCAUCCUUGUAGCAGCCAGCCGCAGUCUUCAACAGCAAAGAAUUCGUCAUGAUAGUGUAGGUUCUUCAUGUGUACUAUGUUCUUUAAGAUGGCUUGACCAACAGGAAGCUGCUCAGCCUUGAGGCACCUUGCUUGCCACUGCCUGUAACUUUCUGGCCUCUGAGUCCUUUCUGCAUCCUCACAUGCUAUUAUGUUAAGUGCAUCCUGCCCAAAUGGGGUCCUCUCAAUCAUCUUUCUUGCUUCAUUAUCCAGUGGAACAUUUGCAUCAAGCAUGUCAAACAGUGAAGAGUAAUGGAGCAUAGCCUCUUUGAAUAGUUGUAUGAAGAAGGGAGAAUUAUUUAACCCAUUCACAGUGCCAGAAAUGAAAACCUUUGGGUUCAUCCUCCUCAUAGUUUUCAGCACCUCAUCUCUUGCACUAUAUAUGCCAUCGGUUUCAUGACCAGGCUUCUUCAUCCGGAAUAUGCAGUUAAUUAUGAGAACUUCAUCCUCGUCAAUGUUAAUAUCGUCAAUUUUAAUGGUGUCCCAUCUUGAAGUGGCAAUGCCCUGAUACUGAAAAGGUACCUUGAACAUGUUUGCAUAAUCAGCUAACCGCUUCCCUGUCUCCUCGAUCAUUUCGCAGGGGCGGAAACCUGGCUGGCAAACGUCUAUACCUGUGAUCCGAAGCUUAGGGGCUCCCUCUUCUUGCUGUGCAAAUCUCUGAAUCAUUAGUGGCCACUGAAAGCCAAAGUCGAUGCCAAAAUCAACAAUGUGCACCCUUGGUUGCCCUUUUGAGACAUCAAGAAUAGCUUGGCUGGCAAAGUAGUAUGACGUCUUGACAAAAGGGCAAGAUGCAAUAAAAACGCUGUAAGCCUCUAACCAUUAUGUGGUACUUGUUCGCCUCCCCAUGAGGUUGCGAUAAACCUGACCCCCGAUCCCAGCCAAACGUGCCUCAAGGCCAUCCGCCAAGUAAAAUGCCAGUCUCUGAGUACAAUCACCAUCUGCUGAGGAGUGUUGUCUUAUCUUCUUUAGGACUUCGCUGGCAAACAGGUGGUUUUCUAAUGCUAUAGCUUGUGCGCAAUGGACGAGGAGAGCCCUGAGAUCAACCAACUCUUUCUUUGGUUGCUUGCUCUACCAUAGCUUCUGACGUCCUUUGCUCCGGCCUUCCAGUGAGUUAUUGUUUCCUUUCUCCGCCAUCGUUUCUUGUGGUCUUGUUGUCUGGUCGGAAGUCUUCCAACCAUGGUAUAGCAGAACUCCGUCAAAAUUUUCAUUUCGAAUUAUUGCACAAGUGGUGAUGGCAUGGUGUUUAUGGCCCAUUCCUUGCAAGAUAUCCCGCUCCCUUUGGUCUGCCAGCGCAAAGAUUGCGUUUUCGCUUCUCUCUCCUGUUUUUUGCCUUUGUAGUUAGUUGCGAAAUAGAAAGUAUGCCAUUCUCUAAAUAUAUCACCAGUUUAUGAAUACUUGGAGCAAACAUCGUUGCCUCCCCGAUGCCUCUUCUCUGACAAUCCAAGGUGGGGAAACCAGAUCCAGAAGCCUGUCCAACACUUGUCAACGGAUGGUUUGGUAGAGAAAGGCUCGUAUUGCAGAUGUAUGGACUCAACGGGGUGGUUAAGGGCCGUAACACGCUGUAACCGGAACAGUAAUUACUGAAGCUAUUGCUCCAGAGCCUCCUGUGACAGCUGCUGCCACUCUUAUCAGAGAUACCUGUUUCGUUGUUGCUAUGCAAUGGCGGCCAGUAAGUGGUCGGCGUGUAUACCGGCCCAAGAAUGUCACGGAACGGCUUCUCAGCAGCCUCCCCUUGGCAUAUGUCGACCCUCUCGUCGACAUCUUCCAUCAGCAUCUUGCUUAUGUAGUGAAGAGCAUCGUUUGAUCUCAUCCGGUGAUGUUCCGCAGCGAUUUGAAUUUGGUUCUGUCCAAGGCUGCUGUUGACAUUGCACAACCCAGGGCCAGUGUCUGCACGAUGCAGAUAUGUUCUUGCUCCAGUGGUUGGCUGGGGAAAGAAGUGCGGACCUCUCAGCUUGUAAUUGUACAUGGUGAGUUGCUGCUGGAAAGAGGAAUCACCAUCGUAUGGUUCGUCGGUUGCUGUGACGGUGCCCAGAUUGUCACGAAGAGAUUCAAUCGCCAUUGUGGAAAGUCUCUUUUCCACCUCAAUUCGAGAUAAGUAAAUCUUCUUCGUCCCACAGCAAAUGAAUCAGCUUCUUUCCUGGAAGAAGAAAGGGAGGAAAUGGAAGCUUAAUUAUGUGAGAUGAAUUUCGGUUCGCCUUGCUCAUGUGCUACAAUCUACAAUGUCUGUGAAACGGAUUUCUGCCCAGCGAGCUCCCUUUUUUUUUCCUUCACCUUAUGCUUCUUCCUUUUUAUUAGAGAUUCAGCUUAUGAUUGUUUUGGCAUGCCAUACUGAUCGCAAACUAAUUCCAAAGGCUUGCAGACACGAGAAUAACUACUUUACCCGGUUAAAUAUAUAAUCUAUGACGCGCUUAAUACCACUGCUCAGUUUUAUCUGCAGGAGGCUUCGCAAGUAGCAAAAGUAGGGAAUCACACACCUUGGUUAUUUAGCAGCAGCAGCAGCAGCAGAUCCAGUGCUCUGAGAAGAGUAGUGGGGAUGUGGGCUAUGAAAGAAUAGUAGUGAGCUUGUGGUGUUGAUGUGAACUAAAUUUGCCGUUCCUCUACCUUAUGGCUUUGUUCCCAACGUCAUAAGAUUGUGACAGAGAAUGGUCCAGAGUACAAGCAACUAUCCUGUCGAUUAGUUCUAGGCCCGGCUGCGCAUCAGAGGUAUAAAAAAGUGUUUAUUAGGAACGCUUUCCUGGGUAUCAACAUUAUUAGGGUCCCUAAUUGAUUCGUUAAAAAAUUCCAAGGUAAUCGAAAGGAGAUGCACUAUUUGAAGAAAAUUUUCUUUCUUUCCCAGUUGAUAGUUGAUAUAUUCUGAGAUGCACUAGUUUAUAUAUAUAUAUAUAUAUAUAUAUAUAUAUAUAUAUAUAUAUAUAUGGUCGAAUUUUUCGAGGAUAGUUUGUUGUACUUCAUCUCAGUAAAAUAAUCAGAUUUUUUUUGGUUAUCUUAUUAGUUCAAAGUUGAAUUGUUGGUGCCUAGCUAGUCUGAGACUUAUGUUCUUCGGUACCUGGAGUAUUUUACCAAGGCUUGAGUGAUACAUUUGUACUAGGUUAUUAUAUAUAAUGGUCUUGGUCGAAUUUUUCGAGGAUAGUUUGUUGUACUUCAUCUCAGUAAAAUAAUCAGAUUUUUUUUAUUAUCUUAUUAGUUCAAAGUUGAAUUGUUGGUGCCUAGCUAGUCUGACACUUAUGUUCUGCCGUACCUGGAGUAUUUUACCAAGGCUUGAGUGAUACAGUUGUACCAAAUGUUUAAGGAGUGUAAAUGCCUCUGAAUUUUAUUUACAACAUCGGCAGGAUUGUUAGUUAUUAUGUCAUGAAAAUGCACAUCCAGAUUCAAUCUGUAAUACUAGAAGAACAGGCCAAAAUAAAUACUAGAAGAAAAUAAAACAAAAAUCUGUUAAAAUUUGGAUGUAAUUGAUAGAAAAAAGGAGGCACUAUUCAAAAAACUUGUAUUUUUUUCAUUUGGUAGUUGAUAUAUAUAAUGGUUGAAUUUUUGGGGUGUAGUUUGUUGUACUUUAGUAUCUCAUUAAACCAUCAGUUUUUUCUGUAAUUAUUUUCUUUGUGUUUCGAGAUUGGUAUAGUGGUAUCCUAUAAAGGCUUUGAGAUUGGUCACGUAUAUGUGAUAUAUUAGACGUGUUCGCGGCCAUUAGUAACUAAUAGAUUUCACCUUCUUGUCAUUUGGAGGGCUCCAUCAACAUCAACAACAUUAAUUAGUUUGAUAAAUUACAUCUUGGCAUUUAAAGGGCUCUGUCAAACAUUGGUGGGCUAGUAGAACCAGCAUGAAUAUUCCAUAUAGAAAAGCUAUGGCCUCGCCCGCUUCCGGCACAAAAGUGUGCUGCCCCCAAUAGUCCUCAACAUCAUCGCGGAGGAGGCCCAGCUAUGGGUUACCAUGGGUGCAAAGAAGCAUGGGAAAAUUGUAUUGCACGAGAAAUUGUCAUGCGGUGUUGUAAGGGAUGAUUGUAAAACUCUAUUCUCAGACAAAUAUUUUGCCCCCAUUUUAAAAAUAUAUAUAGAUCACACAACAAAAGAACAAAUGUUGUUUACCUUGAAGAAAAUUACAGAAAUGGACAGGCAGUGUUUGUACUUUCUUUGAUUUCGAAGAGAUAAGCAUCAUUAUUAUUUUUUGUGUGUGAGAAAGGAAAGAUAAUAUUAUUUUUUAUUAGGCUGUGCAUGAGUUUGUUCUUUUUCUCGAAUCAAUAACUCGGGUAAGACUAUGAAAAUACAUCACACACUGUGAAAAUAGAAACUGGUUUGAUAAGAUAGACACCUAAUUGAACCUUAAAUUUGAUUUCCGAUGGGAUGGAGGUACCACCAUCUUCACUAAUUAACUACCUAUUUUUCAGAAACCACUAACUAUAUAGUUUGUGCUUGGUUUUCACCUAGGCUGUGUGAAUGCGACCUUGUAUUGAUGCCUAUGUCACCAACCAUUGUAACUUGCUCAUCUAAUAAUAUAUAAAACUCUCAUCUUGUUCAUCAUAUUCCGUUUAGGGGUCAUUCACAUUUUUUUUAAUUUUCUUAAGAAAUUAGGCAGUUUUCAAUUAAGUUUAACUAGAUUAGCAUCAUUACAAGAUUACUGAUAUAGUGUUGCCAUGGCUUCUGCAAUGACAGCUCCUGGUCUAGAUAUGGAGGCCUUGACCGGGCGACGGGGGAGGACCCUCGGGUUGGGCCGGCCACCUUAGAGCAACUCUAGCAGACCCCGCAAAACGCCGGCCCGCAAAACGCGUUUGCAGUUCGCGUAAAACAGCUUUUGCGGACGGCGCGGGCUGGCAUAGAUGCAGACCCCCCAAACGGAUCCGUAAAAAAGUAUAUUCGCGGAAUAUGCUUUUUUAUGGGUCGGCUAUGCGGGUUCUGCUCUUUGCGCCGCUGCAUCCCCGCAUAUCAUCAGCCCGCAAAUAUCAAAUCCAACAUAAUUCAACAAUCGAAAACAAACUGAAUUAUUCAAAUCAAAUAUAAAACAAUAAUCAUCCGCAUUACAAAUAAUUAUUCAAAUCACCGUAGCAAACUUAAAAUAAUGCAAUACAAAACUUGUCAUGAAUACAAAUACAAAUGAAUACAAAAAUUAGUCACUGUCCAGCCCUUUGUCAAUGGUGCUCAAUGAGAACUUCCUGAAGCUGAAAGUGUGUGUUUGCAUUUUCAAUCUCCUUGUAUGAAUGAAGAAAAGCUCUAAUGCGGUUUGGGUCUCUAGUUGGUUUGACACGGCUACCCACAUUGUCGUAAAAGUUCUAAGUCCAUUCCUCUCUCAUCUUUAAGAAUCAUAUUGUGCAGGAUAACACAGCAAGUAAUGAUGUUCUUCAGGGUUUUCUUAUCCCAAAAACGAGCAGGACCACGGACAAUGGCAAACCUAGAUUGCAAAACACCGAAUGCUCUUUCAAUGUCUUUUCGGGCUGCCUCUUGCACCCUUGCAAAUUCACAUUGUUUUUUUGUUUUGGGUUCUUUGAUGCUCUCGACAAAUGUGCACCAAGGAGGAUAUGUACCAUCUGCAAGAUAGUACUCCUUUGUGUAUUCAUGCCCAUUGAUAGUGUAGUUGCAAGCAGGAGCAUCACCACUAGCAAGCCUAGCAAACAAAUGAGAGUGUUGCAACACAUUGAUAUCAUUGAGUGUGCCGGGCAUACCAAAAAAGCAAUGCCAAAUCCAUAAAUCCUCGGAUGCUACGGCCUCUAGCACAAUUGUUGCAUCACGAGACUUGCCACAAUACAUUCCUUGCCAAGCCUUGGGGCAAUUUUUCCAAUUCCAAUGCAUACAAUCAAUGCUACCUAGCAUCCCAGGCCAACCUCUCAUCUCAUUAGCUGCCAUCAAUUUCUUUGUGUCAUCUUCAUUUGGUGCCCGAAGAUACUCGGGACCAAAGACACGGACGAUCACUUUCGCAAAUCUACAUACAGACUCAAUUGUGCUAUCUUCACCAAUGCGAAGAUACUUAUCGGCAUAGUCAGCCGGAAUGCCAUAUGCAAUCACCCGCAUAGCCGCGGAGAUUUUUUGAUAUGCACUAAAUCCCUUUAAGCCCGCGGCAUUCCUUCUUUGAGUGAAAUACCGGCAAUUUGCCUCGCAAGCUUCACAAUUUUCACAAAAAGGGAUCGGCGCAUUCGGUACCUUCUGCGGAAGAGGUGUGCAGGAUAUGUAGGAUUCUCCGAAAAACAAUCGUGCAUCAACAUCUCGUUUCCAAGAUGGCGAUUCCGCGGAAUGCACAGACGCCCGACAGUAGAUCCUCGCCUCCUCUUUCGGUACUCGUCUUCAUGCUCCUUCACGGCAAGCGCCAUGACCAAUGUUUGCUACCGAAAGGUCGCAAGCAUGGUCUCCACAUCCGAGUCGUCCGAAUCGGACGAAUCGGAUAGCAAGAACUUCUCGCACUGGGUCAACUCCAUCUACACGCACACCGGCGCGUCAAUCUACUACACAGCUCGCAAAAAUCAGAAAAAAGGGACUAACCGGUGGCAAGUGAUCCCGGGCGGCGACGAGGGUGGUGCGCUCGACGGUGGUCGAUCCCAGCGGCGGCAGUGACUGGGGGGCGGCUCUUCUUGCCGGAUCCGGAGGGGCGGUGCAGCGGCUCGGCGCGGGAGGGUGUGGGGCGGCCCCGCGGAGCGAUUCCGCCCGCGGAUAUGGCCGGAAUCACCGGCGGCGGGCGGACGGAAGCAAGGGCGGGCGGCGGCGGAAGGAGGGGGAAAAGAGCGCGGGCUGAAAUGUCCCUCCCACCAACUGCUUCUCUGUGAUGCAGGGCACUGCAGCCGCGAGGGGGAAACCCGCGUUUUCCCGGGUUGGGGUCGGGAAUUUGCCGCGCCCCCUAAAAUUUUUUGCGGGCCGGGGCGGGAUGCGGGGUCUGGUCGGGCAGGCUUUCCGGCCCGUACCAGCAUUUUGGCGGUUAUUUUACGGAUCGGCAGGGAGUUUCUUGAACUAGAUGAUAUCUCGCGUUGCCAUGGAAUGAAAUAUACAAUUUUGUAAAUAUUGUGUAGAAUAUUAAUUUUGUCCUUACGAUUUAAACUAGUAUGUGAUAAAUUUCUACAUCCGCAAGAAAUUCUUAACAGGAAAAGUUGUGCAUGUCACAAUUAAAUGUAGGUGCAUUUAAAACUCAAUUAGAAUGCACUCAUGCAUGACAUGAUAGAGGAUUCUCAUGCAUAGAUCGAAGGGAUGCUAGUGGAUCAAGUUAGUAAAUCUAAUGCUUAUCACAAUUUUUAUAUUGUGGAAGCACACAUUGCUGAGAUAAUUAGAAGCUUUUGCUAUCACUCACUGUGUGUGUGUUUUUGAGUUAUCAGCUUUUUCUAUCACUCCCAGUUUUUUUUAGGGGAUCACUCUCAGUUAUAUCAGGUGAAGGCUAACGUGACACAGCCCAGGGCCCAGGCCCAGUUAGAACACGACUCAGCAGUUCAGAAAGUGCGUAAACGCUCUCCGAAGGCGGAAAACGCCUCCUAUCUCCUCUCCUCCGCGACCUCUCUCUCCAUGGCCGCCAAGAGGAAGCUCCGCAGGUCGUCGGCGGUGGCUGCUCCAACAGCGCCGAAGGCGAAGGAAGACGAAGCGGAGAGGCUGUUCUCCUCGCGCCCCUUCGCCGACCUCGCCCUCCACCCCACCCCCUACGCACGCCCCCAAGGUCUCUCCCUCCCCCCUCUCCGAUUCCCCGUAUCUCUGUGGCCCUAGUGAUUUGGUAGUCCCCUCGGGAACCAGGAGCUCGCGUCUUUUUUGAGAAAAAUCUGUACAUAUGGUUUUUCAAAUUUCUAAUCCGGAUGGUUAAGAUUAUGCUCCUAGUUUAAAAUUUUAAAAGUUUUGACUGAAGACACGUCCAGAACGUCACUUAGAUGUGAUAUGGAGAGAGUAAUAUGUGAACAUUAGUGCAUUCUAUUGGAUUCUUUCAUAGGAACCUUGUUUAUAUUAAUACAAGUGCAAUUGCUUCAAAUCAGAAAUGAGAAUCCUCUGAUCUUCCAUAUCGCCAGUUUUGAAAUAUUCUACUGUAAUUUACAGCAAAUCCAGUGCCCAGGUAUGGUAGUAUUUCCACUAGUCUCAUGUCUUGUAGGCCCUACACACAGACCAAAACAAUAACCAAGUACACAUAGUUAAAAGAACACCAGCUUCACUUACAGAGCACUUCCCAGACCACUUUGUUCAAAAAUUAAAUAGAGCGGCAGAAGCAAAGCAUUGCACAGUUGCCUUUUGCUACAUAUGGCCGUGAAGUUGCGCAGUUGGACCAAAUCAAAGCAUGUUAAAUAUCAGCACUCAAAUCACCAUCCCAUCUUAUUCCAAGAUAUACUAGCAUAAAGUACUGUUAUGUUGAGAAUCGUGCAAGCAGCUACAGAGGCGGUAAGUUGCCGAUAUGUUUAUGCACUUGAUAAACUGUUCGAAUCUUACUGACCAUCAUAUUUUUCAUCAGGUUUCCAUUUAGAUAUAGCAUACAUCACUCUCCCUUUCCAUCCUUGUAGCAGCCAGCCGCAAUCUUCGACAGAGAAGAAUUCUUCAUGAUAAUGUAAGUUCUUCAUGUGUACUAUGUUCUUUAAGAUGGCUUGAUCGACAGGAAGCUGCUGAAACCCUGCCUUGAGGCACCUUGCUUGCCACUGCCUGUAACUUUCUGGCCUCUGAGUCCUUUCUGCAUCCUCACAUGCUAUUAUGUUAAGGGCAUCCCGCCCAAAUGGGAUCCUCUCAAGCAUCUUUCUUGCCUCAUUAUCCCAUGGAACAUUUGCAUCCAGCAUGUCAAACACUGAAGAGUAAUGGAGCAUAACUUCUUUGAAUCGUUGUAUGAAGAAGGGAGAACUAUGUAACACGUUCACAGUGCCAGAAAUAAAAACCUUUGGGUUCAUCCUCCUCAUAGUUUUCAGCACCUCGUCCCUUGCACUAUUUAUGCCAUCGGUUUCAUGACCAAGAUUCUUCAUCCGGAAUAUGCAGUUGAUUAUGAGAACUUCAUCCUCAUCAAUGUUAAGAUCCUCAAUUUUAAUGGUGUCCCAUCUUGCAGCGGCAAUGCCCUGAUACUGAAAAGGUACCUUGAACAUGUUUGCAUAAUCAGCCAACCGUUUCCCUGUCUCCUCGAUCAUUUCGCAGGGGCGAAAACCUGGCUGAGAAACGUCUAUACCUGUGAUCCGAAGCUUGGGGGCUCCCUCUUCUUGCUGUGCAAACUUCUGAAUCAUUAAUGGCCACUGAAAGCCAUAGCCGAUGCCAAAAUCAAUGAUGUGCACCCUUUGUUGCCCUUUUGAGACAUCAAGAAUAGCUUGGCUCGCAAAGUAGUAUGACGUCCUGACAAAAGGGCAAGCUGCAACAAAAAGGCUGUAAGCCUCUAACCAAUCUGUGGGACUUGUUCGCCUCUCGAUGAGGGUGCGAUAAACCUGACUCCCGCUCCCAGCCAAGCGUGCCUCAAGGCCAUCCGCCAAGUAAAAUGCCAGUCUCUCAGUGCAAUCACCAUCUGCUGAAGAGUGUUGUCUUAUCUUCAAUAGCAGUUCACUGGCCAACAGGUAGCUGUCUUCUGCCACAGCUUGUGCGCAAUGGAUAAGGAGAGUCCUGAGAUCAACCAACUCUUUCCUCGGUUGCAUCCUAGCCCUUAGCUUCUGACGUCCUUUGCUCCGGCCUUUCACUGAGUUAUUAUUUCCUUUCUCCGCCAUCGUUUCUUGUAGUCUUGUUGUUUGGUCGAAAGUCUUCCGACCAUAGCAUAGCAGAACUCGGUCGAAAUUUUCAUUUCGAGUUAUUGCACAAGUGGUGAAGACAAGAUGUUUGUUGCUCCUUGCUUCCAAGAUAUCCCAGUUUUCGCUCCUCUGGCCUACUGUCUCCUUUAUAGUCAGUUUGGAAAUAGAAAGUAUGUCAUUCUCUAAAUAUAUCACCAGCUUACCAAUACGUGGAGCAAACAUUGUUGCCUCCUCGACAUCUCUCUGACAAUGGAAGGCAGGGAAACUAGAUCUAGAAGUCGGUCCAACACUUAUCGACGGACUGUUUAGAGAAAGACUCCUAUUGCAGGUAUAUGGACUCAACAGGUUUGUUAAGGGCUGUAACACGCUGUAACUGGAACAGUUAUUACUGAAGCUUGUGCUCCAGAGCCUCUUGUAACUGCUGGUACCACUCUUAUCAGGGUUUUCUGGUUUGUUGUUGCUAUGCAUUGGCGGACAGUUAGUAGCUGGCGCGUAUACCUCCCCAAGAAUGUCACGGAAUGGCUUCUCAGCAGCCUGGAGAGCAGCCUCCCCUUGGCAUAUGUCGACCCUCUCGUCGACGUCAUCCAUCAGCAUGUGGCUUAUGUAGUGAAGGGCAUCAUUUGAUCUGAUCCGGCGGUGCUCAGGGCUGCCCCCUGUAGCAAUCUGAAAUUGGGUUUGUCCAAGGCUGCUGUUGACCCUGCACAACCCAGGGCUGGUGACUCCACCAAGCACACAUGUGCUUUCUUGGUUGGCUGGGGAAAGAACUGUGGAGUGUGGAUCUCUCAGGUCAUAGUUGUAGACGGCGAGUUGCUGCUGGGAAGAGGAAUCACCGUCGUAUGGUUGGUCGGUUGCUGCGACGGUGUCCAGAUUGUCACGGAGAGGUUCAGUUGCCAUUGUGGAAAGUCUGAUUUCCACCACAAUAUGAGAUAUAUGAUGCUUCUUUGCCCCACAGCAAAUGAAUCAGCUUGUUUCCUGGACGAAGAAAAAAGGGAAAUGGAAACUUAUGUAUGUGAGACGAAUUUCCGUAAAAUGGAGUUCUGCUCAGCGAGCUCCUUUUUUCCCCCUCACCCUCUGCUUCUUCCUUUUUAUUAGAUAUUCAACUUAGGAUUGUUUUAGCAUUCCAUGCUAAUUGAAAAAAAUAAAUCUGAAGGCUUGCAGACACCAGAAUACCUAUUUUAGAUGCUGAUUGAAUUAUCAUGCCUAAAGCGAUUUUGAAUCUACGAUACGCCUGAUACCACUGUUCCUUUUUAUUUGCAGGAGGCUGCUCAUCUGAUCUAAGCAAGUAGCAAAAGUAGGAAAGCACGCACCUUGGUUACUGAGCAGCAUCAUCAGCAUCAGAUCCAAUGCUUAGAGAGAAGAGUAACGAGGAUGUGGACUAUGGAAGAAGAGUAGUGAGGUUGUGCUGUUGAUGUGAGCUAAAUUUGUCGUUCCUCUACCUUAUGGCUUAGUUCCCAAUGUCAUGAGAUUGUGACGUUGAAUGGUUCAGGUUACAAGCAAUUAUUCGGUCGAUUAGUUCUAGGCCCGGCCGCGCACCAGACCUAUAAAAAAGGGUUUAUUAGGAGCGCUGGCCUGGGCUUCAGUCAUUAUUAAGGUCCCUACUUGAACUGUUAAAAAAAGCAGAUGCACUGUUCAAAGAAAUUUGUCCUUCUUUUCCACUUGAUGUAUAUCAUGAAUAGCAUUUAGCUGGUAUUCAAAGAAAAAAGAGGGCACUAUUAAAGAAACUUGUAUUGUUUUUCAUAUGAUAGUUGAUGUAUGUGAUGGCUGAGUUUUUGGAGGGUAGUUUGUUGUACUUUAUCUCAUUAUACCAUCAGACUUUUUUCGUAACUAUUUUCUCUGCAUUUUGAGAUUGGUAUAGUGGUAUAAAGCUUUGAGAUUAGUUUGUACUAUGUGAUAAAUUAGAUGAGUUACCACCAUCUUCACUAACUACCUAGUUUGUAUUUGGUUUUCGCCUAGGCCCUGCCAAUGCGACUCGUCAAGAGGGGUGGGAGCUCGGAGGUCGGCAUCACCUAGGGAGACUACUCGACGGCGCACUAUGUUUCGCCCUAGGCCAAGAUCGGGAGGGGAGGGGAGGGGCAGGAUGAUGGAUUGAGGAGCGAGGUGCGGGAAGGGUAGCAUCGCCCAGACCCCAGAGUCGUCGCAUAUUUUUAUGAUGGACACGUGGACUGUCCGUCAAGGAAUGAACAAGACGCCUCCAAUUUUGCUCCCAGAGUAACGGGAACGGGACCGGCUUCUAUACCGUGCCGCUGGGCAUGGGAGUGCCGUGCCUUCUUACGCCCAACGUGUGCAUUGAUAUGGGCCAGAAGGGCCUUGAACAUCCAGCCUGGCGCAUCCGACUCCGACGAACAAGAAUAACGGGGACAAUUGAUUUGACAACCAAAAUCAGUGAUGUCGUGAGAGAGCUCCUAUGGUGCACGGUUAUAAUGUUUCUAAAUGUCACCAACUAUUGUAACUUGUUCAACCAACAUAUAGAACUUACACCUUGUUCAUCUAAUUCCAUUUAGGGGGCAUUCAGACACACACAAAAGAUGUCAUUUUGUUAGAAAAUUACGUAGUUUUUGGUUAAGCUUAAUCUAAAUUAGCACCAUUAGAAGAUUCUUGGCAUGCCAAAUAACAUACUAGGAACAUUUAACAUAUAUGCAUACGAGCCAGAGGCACAUGUCAACAGAGAGAGAUUUAGAAGAGACAAGUUAACCGGAAACUCCAUUACGACAGACGUAGUUUCGAAGGCCUGUUCUCCCAGGCGACUGUGAGCAUAGUGCCAGAAAGGGGUCGCUGGAGAAGCAACUCAACACAAGUGUGUGUCCUAUUCUGUGUACCCUAUCGCCUUUGUAUUUCCUCUACCUAGAGAGGAUGCGAGGAGAGUGCAUAGAUGCAACUAUAGGGUCUAACACAUUUUUUGUGGUUGCCUUUGACCACUAGCUAUAGCAACAAUAUAUGAUGUGCAUGUCACAAAAAAAUUUAGCAUUAAAUUCGUAUAUGAAAAUAUUUUCUAAUGAUAUAAUUUUUAUAGCUAUAAUACAUCUCAUAUAUUAUUAAUUUUAUCAAUUGUCAGAGGCAACCUCGAACAACAUAUUAGAUGCUAUAUAUUUGUAUGGAAGUAGUAUUAAAGUUACACAUUAGCCAUGCAAUUCACACUAGUACAAAACAGGGCUUUCGUCAUAGGGCAAUAUUCACAUUAGUCCCGGUUCAGUCACGAACCGGGACUAAUGUGAGUAUUGGUCCCGGUUCGUGCGGCUAAGGCAUUAGUCCCGGUUCACCUGGGCCCUUUAGUCCCGGUUGGUGCCACGAACCGGGACUAAAGGGUGCGAUGCCCAUUAGUACCGGUUGGUGGCACCAACCGGGACUAAAGGUUAGACCUUUAGUCCCGNNNNNNNNNNNNNNNNNNNNNNNNNNNNNNNNNNNNNNNNNNNNNNNNNNNNNNNNNNNNNNNNNNNNNNNNNNNNNNNNNNNNNNNNNNNNNNNNNNNNNNNNNNNNNNNNNNNNNNNNNNNNNNNNNNNNNNNNNNNNNNNNNNNNNNNNNNNNNNNNNNNNNNNNNNNNNNNNNNNNNNNNNNNNNNNNNNNNNNNNNNNNNNNNNNNNNNNNNNNNNNNNNNNNNNNNNNNNNNNNNNNNNNNNNNNNNNNNNNNNNNNNNNNNNNNNNNNNNNNNNNNNNNNNNNNNNNNNNNNNNNNNNNNNNNNNNNNNNNNNNNNNNNNNNNNNNNNNNNNNNNNNNNNNNNNNNNNNNNNNNNNNNNNNNNNNNNNNNNNNNNNNNNNNNNGGACCGCCUUUUCAGUUUUAGAAAAAACAAAAGAAAAUGAUGGAAAUGUCAAAAAAAUAAAGUAAAAUAAGUUUCCCAUGUGAUAUGUGGUCUAGUUGUUGGAAAAAUUUACAAAUAUGAAUUUCGACUUUAUUUGCAAAAUCUCUCUGGAAUUUCUUAAAAUGGCCAUAACUUUUGCAUACGAACUCGGAUGAAAAAGUUUUUUAUAUGAAAAAUCAUCUACUCGAAAAGUUACAUCCAAAUUUAACCGGGGGGAACCCCGUUAAACAUUUUCAAAAUCCUCAAAAACCUAAUAGAAAAAAGUUACGGGGCUUUUAAGAUCUGGAGAGGCACAAAAAUUCAAAAAAAUUCAAAUUGUGGUCAAACUGUGGUCAAACAAUGGUCAAACUAAUUAUUCUAGAAUAUUAGUGUUACUAAAUAAUUAUUUCAGUUUUUUUGAAUUUUGGUCAAUCUGGUCAAACAGUGGUCAAACAAUGGUCAAACUAAUUAUUCCAGAAAUAUUAGUGUUACUAAAUAAUUAUUGUUUUUAAAACAAUAGUUUCAAACUCAAACAGUGAAAUGUGUCACUUCAUGCUCAAGCUAAAUUCCUGAGGGUUAAUAGAAUUGACAUCUUACUAUUGUCAGAAAAACAACAAGUGCUGACUUGGAAACGAGGGAGAAUAGAACCCGGAAGUUAAGCGUGCUCAGGCUGGAGUAGUGAGAGGAUGGGUGACCGCCCGGGAAGUUAGAUGAUUUGGAAUGAUGAGGGGUGAUUAGAGAUUAGAGGAUAAAUUGAGCAGUGAUGAGGGGUGGUGAUUAGAGAUUAGAGGUUAAAAUAACUCAGAAAUUUGAAAAUCAAAAAAAAAUUCGCAAAAAAAAAUUUCAAAAAAAAAUAUCAUAAAAUUGGACUAAAGGGGGGAGGCAUUAGUAACGACCCUUUAGUCCCGGUUCAAAAACCGGGACUAAAGACCCUUACCAAUCGGGACAAAAGCCCCCUUUUCUACUAGUGUCAAAUGGGCUUUUGAGAUUUCAGAAUUCUUCUGGGCUGAGGCACAAGAUUUAAUGGACCGAGGCCCAUGAAAUCUAACCCAAAUAAGGGACAUAGAACAGUAGGGGCUCCGUUUCAAAAAACAGGAACAGUAGGGGCAUCUACGUUCAUACUCCCCAUGCCCCAUAAUAUAGCUACGCAUUGAUUUUCGCGUAAGUCAAGAGUCACAAACUUUGAUCAAAUUUAAAGAGAAAAUUAUCUAUAUCUACAAUACCAAAUAUACAUCAUAUGAAAAUAUAUUUCCUUAUCAAUCUAGUGGUAUUUAUUUAGUAUUCUACAUCUUUGUAAAUUUUCUAAAAACUUGAUCAAAUCUUAUAUUGUUUGACUUUAGGAAAAAAGUCUAUACACACUGUGUUUUGGGAUGGAGGGAGCAUCAUGGAAGUGGGUGUGAUUCUUAUGUUUUCUUUGAGGGGGGCAGGGUCUAUUUUUUCAUGAAUGAGUUCUGGCGUCAUCGGGUGGGCCUAACGUGACACAGCCCAGGGCCCAGGCCCAAUCAAAACAUGACUUGACACUUGAGCAGGUGCGUAAACGCUCUCCGAACUUGGAAAACGCCCCUCUAUCCUUCAUUCACACUGCUUCAAGUGAACCCAAACGUAUGUACACGGCUGUAGGUGAAACCUUCAGCCAUGGCCUAUUUCCUUAUUAGUAUCGUCGUUGUUAUCAUCUCUUCGAUUGAUCAGGGAGGCCGAAACAUUUUGAGACAACAAGUUCUUGAAGAAAUCUCCUUGCCAAGCAACACUUCAUGUGGUACCAUAACCUACGGUCUCUAUGAAAGAAGGCUAUACUUACAUCCCAAACCGGAUCAAAGGAAAUCAAAUUUCUAAAAGCUCACCAAAUAAUUGAACGUUUCGACAAGGAUAUAUUUUUGAAAGUCCACCUACAUUUUUCUGAAACCUAGGCGGAAAAUGUGUUGAAAGUUGUCUUAGUUGGAGGUCAAAAAAUGGAAGUUUUCUAUGUUUAUUUGAAAUUUUAGAAUAUUACCAGAAAGGAAACAUUGGGGAGGGAAGACACCUGCCCGAAAUGAAAAAAAAAUUGAAAAUUACUAGGUGGGCAAUGUGUUCAGAUUUUCAUAGAUGGGUGUACAAAAAUACAAGUUGAUAUAUUAUUGGAAAUUUGAGAAUAUUUCCAAAAAAGGAAAUAUUGGGGAUGAAAGGCACCUGCCCAGAAAACUAAACAGUGUGCACGAAAUGUUGGGGAGAAAAGAAAUACUGCAUGAAUUUGUUGUUGAAAGUUGUCUUAACUGGAAGCCAAAAAAUGAAAAUGUAUAAAUUAUUGUUGAAAUUUGAGAAUAUUUCCAUAAAGGAUAUAUUUUAGUGACGAAAGAUACCUGCUUAGAAACACUAAAUAUUGGGGUGAAAAAAUACUAGGUGAAAAAUGUACUGAUAGUUUUCUAAACUGGAUGUUGUCUACAUUUUGAAUUGAUUUAAUUCGUAUACGAAAAUAGUUUCUAAUGAUAUAAUUUUUAUAGCCACCAACGGCUCAUAUAGUCCCUCCCUCUCUUCAAGUUUAUUGGGCUCAUCUUACAAAUUACAUCAACCAAGAAGGACCUACUUAAGUGUUAUACAACAUAUUAAUACUAUACGCAUGGCCCUCUCACUCCUUCAUGUAUUGGUUUAUUCUAAAUUGAGAAUACAAAUUUGACAAAAUUUAAUGUGUAUAUAGUUAUAUUUGCAUGUUCCCAAGACAAUGAGCCUUACAAAUUGAAAAUUUCUACUUUUGAGGAAAGCUCUCUAAACUGAAAGGGAUGGAGUAUUAUUAAUUUUAUCAAUUGUCAAAGCCAACCUCAAACAACGUAUUAGGCGAUAUAUGUUUGGAUGGAUGGAGUAAUAAACUGCAUGUUGGUUUUCCCGAAAGUCAGGGGUCACAAAUUUUGACAAAGUUUAUAGAGAAAUUGAUCUUUUCUCAACAAAGGGUGGAUUUUAUUGGCUCAAAAUGGAGCAUCAAGAGGAUACACAAAUAAUGAGCACACACCCGGCCUCAGCAUAUUUAGGAUGCACGCAACCAAUACCAACGCGCACACACAAAAACACAGCAAAUAGCAAAGUCAUAUAAGGCCAAAGCUAUGCCUAGGAGAGGCAAAAAGAAAAAUAAUUAAAGUGAUCAGAUUCGUGGUCGAUAAACUACAACAAUGAACAUAUCCACAUAAACCAUCUCAUUGACACGACACAAAAAACGAGAUUCUUCAACAACAACACCUUCAGGAAGGGAGCGAUGCUCAAAAUGUCGCCAUCGCCGGAUCCAACCAUCUAAGGCUGGAAUCUAGAUAUUCACCCCAAAGAGUCAAUCUAAAUAUCUGAGUAAUGCCUUAAACUAGGUAAUGAAGUAAAACAUCACAAUAGCCAAGUAUAACCAACUCGGGUUAGAUUUAGGCUUUCACCCCGGAGCUUGAGACUGGGUACUUGAGUAGCACCAUCAUCAACGACAUUCAAGUGUUGCAGCCACCAUUUUUCCGCAAUCCCAGCAGCAACAAGCGAUGUACCACUACUGGCUGCACAACCAUCCCUCUAUGUCAAGUCAUCGCCCAUAGUUUGCAUGUCACCGCCAAAGUCAACCAUACGAACUGGAGGGAGAAACCCUCAUCAAGACCUUUCGACGGCCACAACAAUCCAUAGCAAGGCCGCCACCAUGGGCCGGAGUGGUUUCGGGCAAAGCCUCCUCAGCUCCAUCCACCAUGAGGGAUUUUUCUAGUGGCACAAAGGCAACAGCAAGAAGAGGGUGCAUGGAGGAGGGCGUUGGUGAAGUCGGCUUGGAGGCACCGCCCGUGUCACCAAGAGCGACGCGGGGGUUGACCCCUUUUUCUGGGCAUCUCCACUAUACGGUUGCAGUAGCGAAGGCCGUGAGCCACAUGCUCGGGCACCUUCGGUGGAUGAACAAUACAAGAGGAGGAAACCGGGAUGAGACUGGGCCUGCCCGGCGGAGACACCAGAUGAGAUCUAUGUCAGAUGGGGUGGGUGAUGGGGCUGAUGCGCCGGAGAGGACCCAUUGCCACCGACCACCGUGAGGGACUUUGCCCAGGUGGCCCUGGCCAGCGGCGAUGAGGGAGGGACAAUACGAGAGGGUACUAGAGAAGGAGUGGCGAUGCCACCACCCGUCUCGACCUCGAGGAUAAUGCGGGGACUAGGUUUCUCAAUGGGGUUACUGAGAGGAGACCUUACAAUUUGGGAGAGAAUUUCACUUCUCCUGGACUCUGCACCAACUAGAGAUAUACACUACCUUUUUAGUAUGAGUAUCAAGAUUUUUAUUAGUAUGAGUAUCAAGAUUUCACUUCUCCUGGACUCUUGCACCACACAUCAAGCAUGGUCCUCAAUAUAUUAUUUUUAUUAGUACAAAGAUUUUAUAUAGAUGAGUGGUCUCACCACAGACCACACAUCAAGUUUGAUUCUCAACAAAUGGGAAAAACCCAUGCGCAUCACCCAUCAAUUAUAGGAAUUGAACCCGGGUCGUUAGCCUGCACAAUCGCAUGCCUAACCACUAAGCUAGUGCUCUCUUGGAAGAGAAAUUGGUCUAUAUCUACAAUAGCAAAUAUACACCAUAAGAAAUAUAUUUCAUGAUGAAUUUAGUUCUAUUGAUUUAGUAUUCUACAUAUUUAUAAUUUUUUGAAAGAUUUGAUCAAAUUUAUCAUCCAACUUUGAAAAAAAAUCAAAUACAUAAUAUAUGUUGAAACAAAGGGGUAUGACAGAAGUGGGUAUGAUUCUUUUGUUUUCUGCGGGGGAAGGGGGAAUGUAUCUCAUACACCGACGCUUGUGGUGCUAUCGGGUGCACCGGAUGCCCGUAGCGCAUUUCAAAAUGUUUGAAAAAUAAUUAGCACAUUCACACAACAUCGGUCUAUGUUUUCAUCAAAUUUAAGCUCGAGGUAUAAAAGUAACAAAUCCGACAAUGAAUAGUACAUGACAUAAGUUGGGCUUUAGAUUUGGCCCGUUAUCACAUUGAUGUUAAAUUUGUCAUUUCUGUAUCCCGUGCAAUGUUUCGAAUUUUAAUAUGAAAUUUUAUGGCAACAUACAUUAAUGUUGUGUCAUUGUGUUAGAUUGUUUUCAGAUUUUUUUCUGAGACAUUUAAAAAUGCGGUAUGGUGUCCGGUCCACGGGUAGCGCCACAAAUGCAGAUGCAACAUUACAUUCCUGUGCCCAGGUGGGCCUAACGUGACACGGCCCAGGGCCCAGAGCCCAGGCCCAGUUAAAACAGGACCCAGGGUAAGUAAAUUCUCUCCGUAUGUCUAAAAAAAAGUAAAUUCUCUCCGUAGGCUGAAAAGAUGCCCAUCUCUCCUCUUGGAUCCUCCGCGACCUCUCUCUCCAUGGCCGCCACGAGGAAGCUCGGCAGGUCGCCGCCGGCGGCGGCGGCGUAGGAGAAGGAAGACGACACGGAGGGGAUCUUCUCUUGGAGCUCCUUGGCCGACCUCGGCCUGCACCACCCCACCGCCUGCGCCCGCCUCCAAGUCCAAGGUCCCUCCCUCCCCCCUCUCUGAUUCCCCGUGUCUCUGUCGCCCUGUUGAUUUCGUAGUGCCCUAGGGAACUAGGAGCUCAGCCCCUAAUCUCGUCCACGUAUUCUUUGUUUUUUUUUCGAGAAAAAAUAGUCUAUGCAUAUGAUUUUCAAAUUUCCAAUCUGAAUGAUUAAAAUGAUAUUCGUGGUUUAAGUAGAAGUUUGACAGAAGACAUGCCCAAAACGUCUCCCACCUAGUUGUGAUAUGCAGAGAGUAAUAAUAUGUCAACAUUAGUGCAUUAUAUUGGAUUCCAGUUUGGAUUAAGUCCGAUUGCCGUCUUCAAAUCAGAAAUGGCAGUCCUCUGAUCUUCCAUAUCGCCGGUUUUGAGACAUAUUCAGCAUAAUGAUUGUAAGACGUGUAGUGUCAAAAAAGGUCUUACAUUAUGGGAUGGAGGGAGUACUUUACAGCAAAUCCAGUGUCUAGGUAUGGCAUCUCCACUAAUCUCAUCAUAUCUAGUUUGUUCAGAAAUUAAAUAGAGCGGCAGAGGUAAAGUUGUACAGUUGCCUUUUGCUACAUAUGGACCAAAUCAAAACAUGUUGAAUAAUAUCAACAUUCGAAUCACCAUCCCACCUUCUUCCAAGCUAGCACUUCCCAAUACUCAUCUGACGAAAGAAUAUCCAUCUUCUGGUGUUCAGCAAUUUAGACCCGUUGUGUUGAGAAUCUAGUAGCUGCACAGGCGUGUGCACUUGAAAAACUGUUUGAAUCUUAUUAUUGAUCAUCAUUAGGUUUCCAUUUAGAUACAGCAUAAAGUACCCUCCCUUUCCAUCCUUGAAGCAGCCAGCCGCAAUCUUCUACAGCAAAGAAUUCCUGAUGAAACAGUAAGUUCUUCCUGUGUACUAUGUUCUUUAAGAUGGCUGGAUCGACAGGAAGCUGCUGGAACCCAGCCUUGAGGCACCUUGCUUGCCACUGCCUGUAUAUUUCUGGCCUCUCAGUUCUUUGUGCACCCUCACAUGCUAUGAUGUUAAGAGCAUCCUGCCCAAACAGGAUCCUCUCAAUCAUCUUUCUUGCUUCAUUAUCCCGUGGAACAUUUGCAUCAAGCAUGUCAAACACUGAAGAGUAAUGGAGCAUAACCUCUUUGAAACGUUGUAUGAAGAAGGGAGAACUGAGUAAACCAUUCACCGUGCCAGAAAUAAAAAUCUUCGGGUCCAUCCUCCUCAUAGUUUUGAGCACCUUAUCCCUUGCACCAUUUACGGCAUCGGUUUCAUGACCGAGAUUCUUCAUCCGGAACAUGCAGUUCACUAUGAGAACUUCAACCUCGUCAAUGUUAAGAUCAUCAAUUUUGAUUGUCUCCCAUCUUGAAGCGGCAAUGCCCUGAUACUGGAAAGGUACCUUGAACCUAUUUGCGUAAUCAGCCAACCGCUUCCCUGUCUCCUCGAUCAUUUUGCAGGGGUGGAAACCUGACAGGGGAACGUCUAUACCUGUGAUCCGAAGCUUAGGGGCUCCCUCCUCUCGCUGUGCAAAAAUCUGAAUCAUUAAUGGCCACUGAAAGCCAAAGCCGAUGCCGAAAUCAACGAUGUGUACCCUUGGUUUCCCUUGUGAGACAUCAAGAAUAGCUUGGUUGGCAAAAUAGUAUGACGCCCUUCCGAAAGGGAAAGCUGCAAGAAAAAGGCUAUAAGCCUCUAACCAAUCUGCGGUACUUGUUUGCCUUUCCACGAGGUUGCGGUAAACCUGACUCCCGGUCCCAGCCAAGCGUGCCUUGAGGCCAUCCGCCAAGUAAAAUGCCAGUCUCUGAGUACAAUCACCAUCUGCUGAAGAGUGUUGCCUUAUCUUCAAUAGCAGUUCACUGGCCAACAGGUAGCUGUGUUCUGCCACAGCUUGUGCGCAGUGGAUUAGGAGAGUCCUGAGAUCAACCAACUCUUUCCUCGGUUGCUUCCUACUUCUGCUCCGGCCUUUCAGAGAGGUCUUGUUUCCUUCCCCCGCCAUCCUUUCUCGCAGUCUUGUUAUUCGGUCAGAACGAUCAUAGCAUAGCAGAACUUGGUCAAAAUUUUCAUUUCGAAUUAUUGCACAAGUGGUGAUGGCAUGAUGUUCAUUGCUCCUUCUUUGAAAGAUAUCCCAACCCCUUGGGUCUGCCACCUCAAAGAUUGUGUUUUCGGUCCUCUCUCCUACUUUUGCCUUCGUAGUCAGUUGGGAAAUAUAAAGUAUGUUAUUCUUUGAAUAUAUCACCAGCUUAUCAAUACUUGGAGCAAACAUUCUUUCCUGCCUGACACCUCUCUGACCAUGCAAGGCAAGGAAGCCAGAUCCGGAAGUCCAUCCAACACUUAUCAACGGCUGGUUUGGUAAAAAAGGACUCCUAUUGCAUAUAUAUGGACUCAACGGGGUUGCUAAAGGUUGCAACAUGUUGUAACUGGAAUAGUCAUUACUGAAGCUAGUGCUCCAGACCCUCUUGUAACGACUGGUCCCACUCUUAUCAGGGUUGUCUGGUUUGUUGUUGCUAUUCAAUGGCGGCCAGUUAGUAGGCGGUGUGCAUACCUCACCAAGAAUGUCACGGAAUGGCUUCUCAGCAGCCUGAAGAGCAGCCCCUUGGCAUAUGUCGACCUCGUCAACGUCUUCCAUCAGCAUCUGGCUUAUGUAGUGAAGAGCAUCGUUUGAUCUGAUCCGGUGGUGCUCAGGGCUACUCCCUGCAGCAAUCUGAAAUUUGUUUUGUCCAUGGCUGCUGUUGACACUUACUUGGUUGGCUGGGGAGAGAACUGUUGAGUGUGGACAACUCAGGUCGUAGUUGUACACGGUGAGUUGCUGCUGGGAAGAGGAAUCACCAUAUGGUUGGUUGGUUGCUGCGAGGGUGUCCAGAUUAUCACGGAGAGGUUCAAUUGCCAUUGUGGAAAGUCUGAUUUCCACCUCAAUACGAGAUAUAUGGUUCUUGUUUGUCCCACAGCAAAUGAACCGGCUUGUUUCCUGGAAGGAGAAAAAGGGAAAUGCAAGCUAAAUUAUUUAUUAGAGAUUCAGCUUAUGAUUGUUUUGGCAUGUCAUACUGGUUGAAAAAUAAAAUCCGAAGGCUUGCAGACACGAGAACAGCUAUUUUAGCCGGUUAAACAUAGAAUGUUUAAGCAUCAAUAACAGAAACAGCGUGAAAGCGAUUUUGAAUCUACGACGCGCCUAAUACCACUGUUCCUUUUUAUUUGCAGGAGGCUCCUCAUCUGAUCUGAGCAAGUAGCAAAAGUAGGGAAGCACACACCUUGGAUAUUAAGCAGCAGCAGUGGAUCCAAUGCUUUGAGAGAAGAGUAGCGAGGAUAAGUAGUGAGGUUGUAGUGUUGAUUUGAACUAAAUUUGUCGUUCCUGUACCUUCUGGCUUUGUUUCCAACGUCAUAAGAUUGUGACAGAGAAUGGUCCAGAUUACUAUGGCUUUGUUCCCAACGUUGAUUAGUUCUAGGCCCGGCCGAGCAUCAGACCUAUAAAAAAGGGUUUAUUAGGAGCGCUGGACUGGUUUUCAAUCAUUAUUAAGGUUCCUAAUUGAACUGUUAAAAAAUCCGAGGUAAUCGAAAAAAGGAGAUGCACUAUUCAAAGAAUGUUCUUCUUUCUUUUCCACUUGAUAAUUGAUAUAUAUAUAAUGGUAUUGGUUGAAUCUUUUUUAGGAUAAUUUGUUGUACUUUAUCUCAUUAAAACAAUCAGUUUUUUUGUGAUUAUCUUAAUUCAAAAUUAAAUUGUUG